rnacentral:lncRNA from 1 species
ACCAUGUCAGGAAAACCUUCUGAAUAAAUUCUAUACAUAAAAUUAUAAAAUUUCUAUUACAAAAUCAUAAUAUAUGGCAUUUUUUGUGGUGUUACAUUUACAGUAAUUAAUUUUUGAUUAUAGUUGAUAAUAAUCAUAUAACAAUGGAUGUAAAUGCAAGUAUGCAACACAUUGUAAGAAUAUGUUAAAUAUCAUAAAAGUCUAUCAUAAUUAUAGUGAAGAACUCACUAUUAUAUAUUGUUUUAUAUUGAGAUUCCUGGCAGUAGGUAGCAUGUAAUGAACUUGGAAUGCAGACUUUAUGUUCUAUUGGUAAUGGAAGCACUGAAGAAAGCAAGAUAAAGAGAUGGGUUGCAUUUCAAUCAAGGGAUACAUAUAUGGUGUCAUGAAAUUAUUGUAUUUAAAUUUUAAUGGAGCAUAACAAUUACAUUAAGGAAUAUUUAGAUGUAUUUAAAUGUUCCAAUAAUGGAGCAGAACAUAAGAUCACACAACCAUGGCUGUAAUUGAAACAAUCCAAGGCUGCUGUUUAAUACUAACUCAAAAAUAUAACCAAAUCCCCAAAUUGCAACCAAAGUUGCAGGAUUAUUGUGUGUAAUCAAUCCACCAACCCAGUUCAAGUAAAAAGUCAGUAGCUGUACACAUUCCUUCUGCUGCUAUGACUGAGUCUCUAAUAGAAAACAUGCUGGUUCACAUUUUGAAGUAUGUCCAAACUUGGAUGUAUUGUAUUUCCUGUGUACUCCUGUUAGUUUCCCUGUCCCUGCCUUCUGAUGGAAACCAACCAUUAAUCUUGAACAUUCGCUGUAAAUUGAAAUAUGCAAGAAACAAUGUCCAUCAUUAGUAAUUUUCUAUUCAACAAUUUCAUCAAAGAAGAAAGAUACUACUAAUUGGAGUGGUGGGGAACUCACAGAAGUUGAUCUUCUGAAUAGUUACUGUGCCAUUCACAGGUCCUAUUCCACUGCUUAAAGCCAUAGAUGGUGCAUUGAGCAGUAUAUAUUGCUGCUGCUGCUAAUAAAGAUGGUGGGAACUUGAGCAUCUCAUACUCCACAAGGGAAAGCUCAAUGAUGAAGAAGGACAGCAUCUCAAUUUUCUUAUCUGACUGAGCAGCCUUGAGGAACCUUUGCAUGAAAACAUAUGGUGUUGGAAAUGACAUGUUAAACUGUAAUUUAUUGAGCAUCAACUUUUCCUGCAGGUUGUGAAGGAAGAAGAAAAUGUUUUACUUGCUUGUUUUUUCACUUAAGCCUCAAGGGUUUUCAGAGUUUGGUAGAAUCUGAAAAGCUUGAGAUUUUGACAGAAAAUUUACCAUUUCAAGCACUUCUUCCCUGUUGUAGGCCUUGUCUGAUAUGAGAAUCAAAUCUCCUACCACUGGAACAGAUACCUCUUCAUACUUGCAUGCUAACAGCAUAGCAACCAACCCCACCAACUGAAGCUUCUUUCUUACCACUGUUUGCUGUGAUAGAAAUCUAUCGAUGAGAUUAACCGUAAGAAAUAAUGUCUCUUUCAUAAGAUCAAACUUGUCAUGCACCUAUCAUGAACCAAAUCAUUCAAAAUCAGUAUUGAUUUAGAACUAAUAUUCAAUAGUGCUAUCAUCAUUUCAAUGGCAUGUUUUAGAAGGAGCAUUUCCAUUACCUCAAUAAGCCAGUCAAUCAGUAUGGCUCUCAUCUUCUCAUUAAUGUCAAACUGUUGUGCCAUAUAGUUUUGGGAGACACAGGUAAAGUUCUGCACAGAGUGAGCUGUAUUUAGUCAUCAAAUUUUAGUUGGAAAUAGAAGUUCUCUUAACAUCCAUUGCAUUUGCAGACAUAUUAGGAAUGUAAAUUUCAAGCAUAUCAUAAAACUUUACUUAAAUGGCAAAGCAAUUGGUGUCUUAGGAAGGUUUUUGUUUCUGCCAACUUAGAAUAUCUGAAGUAACCAUAUAAAAAAGACACUAGAUCCAAAUUAAUAAUACAAGAACAAUGGGGAACUCCAUAGAAUAUCAAAAUUUUUUCAUCUAAUCAACAGUGAUAUAAUAGAAUUUAGAAACCAAUUUGUAAUAUACCUCUAUUUUUCUAUAGUUGGCAUACAAAUCUUCAACAUAAUCAACAACUGCAAGGGGAUUCUUUGCAUCACAGCCAUCAAUAUCCACAAUAGGCUCUUCAAUUAUAUCCUCCAUUUCAACCUCCUCCUGACAGAUUUCAUGAGAGUCAAUUAUAGGCUCUAAACUUUAGAAAAGAAAAAAAGAAGAAGAAAAGUUGCAUAAUGACAGGUAGAAAGAGAAAGAAAAGCACCAUUUCAUCAAGGGUUGCUUCUGUUUGUUCUAAAAACAUUGGUUCUGGAUGGUCUUCAGCGGCCUUAUUUUCUUCCACAUCUAUGAAUAUAGAGUCUCCAAACCCAUUAGUGCUCGAAACUGAAGGCUUAUGCUUUUUAGUCUCCUGCUAACAGCAUGUUCCAACAAAUUAAACACUGCCCUUCUUUUUGAUUACCAAAGAAUAAAACCUACUUUUCUUUUAUUUCUUUCUUUUUUUAAACUUUUUUUGAGAAAGAAAGAGAAGGUACCUGGGGACAAUUCUGAUGUGUACUUGACAAUUGUGCAGCAAACUUCCUAAAAUGGCAAAUUGAAAUCUAAAUAUCAAAAUUUGAAAUAACUUGUAUCAAACUCAACCUGUUAAGUUUUAAUAGCAUUAGCUUGAUGCAAGCUUCCUUUUUUUCUUUUUCUAUAUUCACCACAGCAGGAAGAGAUCUAAAAUUUCAAAUUUGGAUCUUUGUUUUUCUCUCUUACUUUUUCUCUUUCUUCUUUACCCCAUCAGCCAAACAAACUUUGGAAAGAAAAAAAAAAGAUCAUGAUUCUAACCUUGUAAUUGGCCGAUGUGCAGGAUUAAGUUGGUUUCUUUCACAGACUCCAUCACUUCUGAAAGGGGGAAAGAAAAGGAUACACCCAAAAGAAAUUAUUUUUCAGCAAAAGAAAAGAAAAAAAAGAACAAACAUUCACUGAUUUUAUAAAGAAAAUAAUUACUCUGAUAAUCCUCUCUUGUUAACAACACAAGGAUAUGCUCCUUGUCCUCCCAUAAAAUUCUGAUUUAACACAUUUAGAGCUCUUCUGUUGUUCCUAAUCUCUUGCCCAAACUUUCUGUUACCCAUCUCUAAUCCUCCUAUAAUUCAAACAAAACACAACAAACCCAUGUCAGAUCCUGAAAAUUAACACCCAUAUUCAACCUCAAAACUUCACUUCUCUACCUUGAAAACUUGAGGGUUUUGCAAUGUUAGGAUUGUUCUCAUCAGAUACAUUCAUUUUGCUCAAUAAACUAUCUGAACGAACAAUCACACAAACACACACAAAAAGAAAAAUCCCCCCCUUUCUUGAAGAACCCAGUACCCUUAAAGAUUUAAACUUUAACAAGUAAUGGGCAUUUAAAAAAAGCCUCGAAGGCAACUGAGUCUAAAAACCCAGUUAGAUAGUGAAGUAAGUGAGAGACACUUGGGCGACAACAAUGGUUAAAUGAAUUGCUGUGUCUUUGCUUUCUUCUUUUUUUUUUUUUUUCAAACGCAACGGCUAGUGAAAUGUGACCGUUAGAUUAUGGGAUUAGCGAUGACUUUCCAUGCUUGUCUUAACAACGGUCACUCACUUCGUUGGCAUGUGGCUCGCCGCAUCUGAUUUCAAAAAUCAUUAUUGGCUUUAUAUUUACAAAUUAAUCCAUGAGGUUACUUCAAAUGAACCUUUGGUCCCUUGUUUAUUUUUUUCUGAUUAGCAAUUUUAAUUUUCUAAUUCCCACAGUAUCUUCAAAUUAGCUUUUACUUUCUUAAUUUUUAAACUUUUUUUCAGAAUGUACUUUUCUAAUACUAGUUUUUGGGAAUUGCUAGAAAAUCUAGCUUCUUUCAAAAAUUAUUUUCAAAAUCACUAAAAAAAUACAAUUAUAAUUUGUGAAAUAUAAAGAACCAUAACCUUUACUCUGAAAAAUUGUGCUAAAAUGGGUUUAAAUAUGAUAUUUUAAGGAGAAUUCUUUUAUGACUGUGAAGAUCCUCAAGAAUGGAUAGAUUAUUCUUCUUAGCAUUAACACUUUUUUUCUUCUUAGAUUUAGCUCGAGCUUGUUAAAAAAUUGAAAAUUUUAAUUUCGCCAAUUAAAUGUAAGAACAUAUCUAUUUGUUUGGUGGGGAGUAAACCAAAUUUAAGCAUAGGCAUAUAAUUGCUAGAUCUAACCAAGUAAGUGUAACUUAGUUUUAAAUUGAGUCUAAUUUUAGUUAAUUUAUAGUCUUAUAAUAUAACAGCUUAGGAUUAGAAUGUAACUAAAUUUACAAUUUUGUAGAAUAAGAUAUAGUUUAAUGUAGAACGUUGAGGACUAAAUGUAAAUCUUAUGACUCUAUCUUAGUGAUUUUCUUAAUAUAAAAUGUGAAGGAUCUUUCUGUAAUUAACCUAUUACUACAAUCUCGGGCUUUUGAUUGGCUGCUUUUGCUUUUAGUUUACUCAACAUUCUGAUAGCGCUCCAAUGCGCUCUUCCCCACUUGGGCUUUUUCUAUUGCUUCUGAAGGGGGUUAAUGGACCAAUAGAAUCUUGCCAUUUCAUCCUUUUAUGAAAUUUUUGUGUCUUCUUUUUGUUUGUUUUGAUUGUCAUUAUUUCAUUUAUUUUAGAGCCAUUCUAGUUUACUUUUAUUCUCAUUAUUAUAGUUACUAUUACCAUGAUUAUGUAUGCCAUCUCAAUAACUAAUGUCCUUUGGUUGAAUUAUAUAUAUAUAUAUAUAUAUAUGAAUCAGGUCAUUUUCAUCUUGAUUUACUUCCAUUUUUAACAAAUGAAUUUUGAUUCUUACAAAUUUGACUAUUUAUUUUUAUAUUAAUCUCUAAAAUAUACUAUCUAUAAUUUGUUGUAAUAUGGUCCGUCCAUAUUAAUUAGAGCUGCACUUAGCAAAAAAGAAAGGAUUAAAUACUGUUCCAAGUUCUAAAUAGAACAAAAUUUUCAAAAUUGAAUCAAUAUUCUAAUAUACAAAAUAUUUUGAGAAAUAGAAAAAAAAAUCAAAAGUUGAAGUUAUAUUUUAAAAUUCCUUAAAUUAUUUUUAAAUUAAAGAUAUUAUAUUUUUAAGUAAAUUAAUUAUAUGAUAUUUCUAUAGUGAUUUUGUUUAGCUUAAUUUGAUGAAAAAAAAUAAUUGAGAGGUACCCUAAGAAGUUAAAAGAAAAAAAGGAAAAGAAAAAUGUUAGGAGCCUUCAUUUUGAAGUUGACCAAAAGAAAGAUAAAAAGAAAAGCAAAAGUGGAUUCAAGUAUAAACUGAGAUACCCUAAGAAGACAGCUUUUGAAAUUGAGAACAAAGGUAAGGGUUUGAAGUAUCAAAUGUCCAAAGGCAAGCAAACCAUGGAGGCUAAAAGAAGCUUUUGAAAUUGAAGGACAAAUAUGCUAUUGGAAAAUGUAAAAUUGAUUCAUCAUCCUUUUUGCAAAGGACCAUUUUGGGGUCUCUUCUUACUUCUGCAUCAUAUCACAAAAAGGCUAAAUUUCAUAAUUUUGAAACACACAUCAAUACAAGAUUUAGUAAUUCAUAACAAACAAUCAUGAUUGAUAUUCAUGUGUACAGUCAGGCAAUUUUAAUUGUGCUUUUAACCUAAUGGUAAGGUAAGAUUUCAACUCUGUUUGGAACUUUGCACUUUAAGAGAAUUUUUUUUUUUUUAAUGACAUUCUGUUUUAAGAUGGAUUUUAAAAAAUAGUUCAUAAAAUUUAUUUAUUUUAAAUUCUAAAGUGCAUUAAAGUAAUUAUGGGCUUCAAAUUUCACCAAAUUAAGAAAAAGGGUAAUCUUAAUGGUAGUUUGUUUUUUUUUGUUAUUUGAGGAAUCAUUUAGCUAACUCUUAUAAAGUUUUUUUUUGAUUCUUAGCAAUGGAUUAGACAGCCAAUUUUCUUUUAGAAAAAAAAAAUUUCAAGACAAAAAAAGUUGAGCAGAAGUGGGGUAAAUUACUUUAUUGGUACCAAAUCUUUGGACUUAAUAUCCAAUUGGUAUCAAUAUUUCAGUUAUUUUCUUUUUGGUACUUGUACUUUUAUUUUCCAUUUCAAUUUAGGGUGCCUAACACUUUUCAGCCUAUUUUUACUAAUAUGGCCAUUGAAAAUGAUAAAUUCUUAAUUGAUUCGUCGUAUUAACAAUAUGAACGCAUUAUUAACUGAUCCUACUAAGCAUAUAGGACCUACCCAAAUGCGUAGUUUGAAAAAAAAAUUUAAAAGAUGGGUCAGACAUGCUGAGUAUGAUAAGUUAUUAAUGUAUUGACAUUAUUAAUAUGGUGAAUCAAUUAAGAAGUUUCAUAUUCAAUGGCCAUAUCGGCAAAAAUAAACUGAAAAGUGUUAGGUACUCCAAACUGAAAUAGAAAAUAGAAGUACUUCUAUCAAAAAGAAAGAAAUUAAAGUAUUGGUGCCAAUUGGAUAUUAAGUCCAAAAAUUUAGUAUUGAUAUAGCAUUUACCCCAUAGAAGUGUAAUGAAAUUACUAUUCAGCUUUGAAACAUGAUGAAUUCCAAUGGAUGAAACAACCUUUUUUUGUUCCCUUUUAUUUCAAAAGCAAAAACAGUGAGCAGAAGUGUACUAAAAUACUAUUUAAAACAUGAAGAAAAGACAAGUUUCUCGAGAGACAAACCCAAAAGGCCAAAUGCAUAUGUACAGUUGGCACCCUAAACUAAAUAUUUAACCAUUUUAGCACUCAUACUAAUAAUAUUUUUUCAUCAGGCAUCCGUUACACUUAUUGCAAAUAUCUUAUGAAUUCCUUAUAAUUUUUAUAAUCCUUACAAAAUUUUUUAGUAUUCCAUAAUAUUUAUUAAAUAUCUUUUUGACUAUAUUUUUUAAUAUAUUAUAACUUUUAUAAAAUAUAUUUUUGAUCUCUAUAUAAUAUUUUAAACGUAUGCUCCUACCAUUUCAUUAUAACUAUUUCAAAUUAAAAAAAUUUUAAUUAUCUGUCAUUUUUAUAUAUUUAACUACAAACCUUUUUUUUAUUUUUAUUUGAUGCGAUUCUAUUUUAUCAUCAAUCCAGUCUCGUUCACAAAACAUAAUCUAAUAAGAAAAUGACUAAAUACAUAUUUAUAUUUCUAAACUUAUAUUAAUUAGUCAAUUUAACCCUUAAAACUUUUGAUUUGAUCUACUAAACACUUGAAUUUUAUUCUUUUUAAUAUUUAAACACUUUAACUUUUAAUUCAAUCUAGCAUAAAUCUAAAUUAAAUAUUUAAACACCUUCAUGCAAUACAUGUGGAUGUAUCGAAUGAAAACAUAUUAAAAAGUGUUAAGAAAUCACAAAAAAAUAAAUUCAGAUGUUUGUUAGGUUAUAUCAAAAGCUGGAGUGUUAAACCGACUAACGAUCAAAAUUCAACUGCAUAAAUAUGCAUUUGGCCUAAGUAAAAAAAAUCAAGAGAAGCAAACUUCAAUGUAUAUCAGAUAAUUUCUCAAAAACAUUUAGAACAAAGAACUGUACAUCUGAUGCACAUCAUUCCCUAAUAUAGUAAACAAAAUCCAAGCUGCCACACUCUGGCUCAUAUCUAUAAUACUAAUUCAAAAUUGAAUGUCUUACCUAAGACUACUCACUACUCUAACAACAAAUAUGGCCUAAUAAAAGAAAUGCUACAUAACACAACUUUUUAUAACAAUGGCCUUUGGAGCUGAUAAUAAUAGUUUUAUCUAAAUCACAAAAAGAAAGUUCCUUUUUUCUUUUCUUUUUCUUUUUUGUAAUAUAGAUGAUGUUACAUUGGCAAUAGGCCAUAUCAGCCUUUCGGCUUUAGUGAACAAUUGCAGCAGAAAGAAAGAUUAUGUCAUGUAGGCAAAAUUUAGGCAAGGAUAUAUCUAUGCACAUGUGAGACAGUACUCACAUGCCACACACACACAGAUUUACCGGUCACUUUAUAGCUUUACUGCAAUUCUGUUACCCCAGGUUGGCAUGUGCGUUACAAAGAGAACUGAGGCAGUGCUGCUUCCCAGUUUCUAUUGUAAAGCAUGUCUUUUGCAACAAACACAACUGUCAUCUCCUGAAAAGAUUAUACAGAGAAGGCCGAUCAGUUUUCUCCUUAAUCAUCUGUUUUAAAUUUUCAGUCUUGUCCUUGACCACCUCUUGCAAUAAUAGUCGGCAAUCUUUCUUCUCUUCAUGGUUAACUUUCCCCUCAAUGCUUAAAUUACUAGUCCCAGAAUUCUCAGACAAAUGAUGUUUUUUCUUCUCUAAUUCAGGUAAUUGAGUUAUCUUAAGUAUCUUCUGGGGCUUCUUAGCCACCGCCUCAGACUUAUUUUUCAAAACAUCUUCCUUUGUAGCUACCUUCUCCUCAUAAAAGGAUUUUGUCAUUACCAAUUUUCGUUUGUUUCCCGUCUUUUUUUGGCUGUGUUCAUGAUCAAGUGGUGACAGGACAGGUAUUUCUUCCUUCCAUUCCACCAUGUAAUCCUUGACCAGAUCAGAAAGUUUCGAAUCAUGUUUCUCCUCAAUGACCUUUGGUCCAUCUUCAGCAACCUCUACUCCUUUAGUGAGUCCUCCACUCAAAGUUUCUAAAAUAACUUUACCAAGAACAAAUCUAGUCUCAUGCUGAUUACCCUUCCCAAGCAGGUAGUAGUCAAUCAUGAAACUUUCUCUCUCAGUUUUGUAAGAUUCAACAUCAUCCACCAGCACAUUAAAAAGUUGAGCAACAUCAUUUGCUAUUUUCUUCGAUACAAAUACCUGAAGCACAAAGAACAAGAAUUUAAGUCAAACAAGACAAAGCUCUAGGAAUCUAGAUGAUACAUAAUGGAAUACACUUCACACUAAAGUAAGCUUUGGCAUGAUGCAUUGAUUUUUCACUAACUUGUAAUUCUAAUGAAGAUAUUGGAGGGUUUAUCAUGCAGCAUUUUUUAACUUAAAAGAAAUUCAGAGUUGCUGGCAAGGUCCAUGAGCUGUGCAUAGGACAAGUCCAAGUUUCAGCAAAGGAGGAAAGUAACAAAGACUCGUACACCGUUCAUCUGCACAACAUUUGCUUUUUUGAAAAAAAGUUUCUUUUCUUCCCUACAAAAUAAAUAGAAUACAGAAAUGAUAUUUUAAAUUACAGGAGAGCUAAAUUAUUUUACUUGUCCAAGAGAAGGUUGUUGCAUUGACAAUCGAAUUAGAUAUGCCAUCAAAUAGAGGGCAACCACUAGUUUACAAUAUUUUCAAAUGUAUCCAUUACCAUCUAUUCACCAUGAAAAUAACCACCCAAAUAAAUGAACUUUCAAGAAAGGUUUUUCAUAUAACAUUCACCCAUCAGUGGUCCUUUCUAAAUUUUCAAAUGUUUCCAUUGCCAUUUUUCAGUAAAUUAUGCCAUGUCUAAAUUUUGUAUAGACCACUAGUUCCUAAAAAUAUCACAAUUUCAACUUUCCUAAUGUCCUAGUGGCAUAUGAAAGAAGCACAAGAGCAGAAUUAAAUCACAGCAAUGCCUUUGAAUAUCCUUAAUUCCACAAGAAAAAUAAUUCUCAGUUCGCCAGAGAUAAGGACAUUUGAACACGUUAUAAAUUUAAUAGUUUCUUUAUUCUCUGGUGGGCUUAAAUCAAAGGAUAUUUCUAGCAUAGAUGUGAUCUAGCCAUGUCGUCAAACUUCCAUCCUGCAUCACUAAGUAGACACAGAAAAUAUUCCUCAUGAAGCUGUAAUUGGCUGCAUAAAAUACAAAACUCCUUUUGAUUUGUGCAAGAAGCCUUGUGACUUAUUGUUUAUGGAAACCCUUUAUGUGAAGGUGUAUUUGCAUGUAUAUCACAAAAAAUUACCUAAUAAUAGCUGGACAUUGUAUAUUAUGUCAUUGAUGGGUUCUCAGCUCUUAAAAAAGAAAAAUAGGAUGCCAGGUCUUUUAAGUCAUAGAAAUUACUUAUCAGUGAAUCACUUUCAGAUAUAGACCUAGAACAUUAGCCAAUGCUAUAUGCUGAAGUUCAUAAAAUCAUUUGACUAAGCUAAAACCAAAUUAAUCAAACUAUUGUAUGUAAAUUUUUAACCUUCAGCACUUACCAAACCAGAACUCGAGGUAACUCCAAAUCUAGACAUGGACUGGGCAAGAGUAUCUGUAUCCAUCAAAGCAUCAACAGAAUCUUGAACCAAAGAAGCUAGAUGACUAACUUCCUCUGCAAGUUCUUCAUCUGAUUUAAAUUCAGAGAAGCCUGAGAUUUCAGGUGCAAAUUUGACUUGCAUUUUGGCAUUUUCCCUUGCAAAUUCAACACCGUCCUUCCACUUUCCAUGAUACAGCACAGAAGCAAAGACCCAUGAAACAAGAGCAUCUUGUGGAUUUGUUACCAAAGCUUGGUGAAAUGCUAGUAGUCCAACCCUGUUCCAGAGACAAAACAUGAUCAGCAGCCACCACUUGGGUUGAUAUCCUUUAUUACAAAUAUACAUUAACAUGUCCAUUCAUUAUCUAGCUUUGUUUUUGGCUAUUGAAUAUCAAUUGGCAAAAAAGAUUUUUAGAAAAAGAGGAAGCAAGAAAAAAAAAAGCUAGCAGAAAAGAGAAAGAAAAAUGUAAAUGUGGCAUGAGAAUUAAAUUAAGUAAGAAAUCAGCCGUCAAAGGAUAUGCCUAUUAUUUACCCAGACUGAUUGAUCCAAUACUUUACAAGAAGCUAACUCAAAUUAUUUUACAACUACAGUAUGCAUUUGAAAAUAAAAGGAGAAAAACUGUAAAACUGAAAUUCACCCAAGGCCUUGAAGUAUUUCUAUCAAGGAAAUUCUCUCUAAAGAUUUUCACUAAGAUUAGGAUUUGUGCCACAGCAUGAUAACUCUUCAUAUCUGGAUCAAAGAGGAAUAUAGAUUUUCAUGAAGUAAUUAGAUUUAGAAUUAUCUAUCUGUAGGACUGAAAGAGUGAUAAUUGAGGUAAACUACAUAUCCAUCAAGCUUAGAAAAUAAAACAUGGACAAUGGAUGUCCAAAGUCUUUGUCUAAGCUCGAAUAGAUACUUUGCUCAUUGAUGAAUCUGAUGUAGAAAAAUGGGCAAGGCAAUAAAGGGUAAGACAGGUAGAUGGGUGAAGUAGAAAGGGGGGCCACAUUAGGGAAGAAAGGAAGAGGUAGACUGUUAUGGCAGUGUGUUUGAAAUCGGGUUGUGGGUCUAAUUCACCGCGGGAUCGAAAGAAGGUGAAGAGUUCGUAACCUUGAAGAAAUUUAUGCUUGUUUUAUUCAUAAGAAAAUAACAUUUUUAAAAUAGUUACAACAUAGGGUAGGCUAGCCUAACCCUUAACCCUAUUUGCCAUAAUUAAGAACAUACAAUUAAGGAAAACAUAUAAUAGAAUAUCCUAAUAAUUACCUAUAAUAACUACAUAAGAAAUAAACUAGUAAGAUAUUAAAAAAAAAAAAAAAACUUAAUGAUCCUAAGAAUCACCUAUAAUAUCUAGAUAGAAAAUUAACCUAGUAAAAUGUUAAUAUUGUAACACCAACCUAAACUAACAUAGAGAAAAUAGGUGAUACAACAUGAUUUAGUGGCUCAACAUUUUUCUGAAGAUGUAGCCCAAUAUUGUAUGGAAUAGAGAUCGUUUAUCCCAGUUAACUUAAUUAAGGCUUAGUUGAAUUGAGUUAAGUUGUACUACACUCUACAUAUCCUCAUUAUGAAGUUUAUUCCAAAAUAAUUAAGUAACAAAAUCCCCAGCUAUUAAUCUCCAUGACACAUAUUCCUUUAGAGGUUGAUCUUGAAAGAGAUCUUGCAAAGUACUCUUUUAAAGAUUGAUACUGGUAAAUAUUUUUUAUUGCAAGCUAUCGGGGAUAGUCACUAUCACUUGAAAUGAAAUAAUCUGGGCAGGCAUUUAGAGAUGAAACUUGAGGAACAAAUUUACUGUUAUUUUAAUUAAGGAAAAAAAAAAAUUGUUUUCUGAUCAAAUAACUGCCAAAGUAACUACAAGAUAUUUGUAAUGAAUCAAGAAAUCCCAAACCUCUACAACUCAAUGAAUGUCAAGAAAAUUGAAUUAGUAUAGCAAUAACCAUGUUUAUGGAAGUUGUGCUACAAGUAGCAGACAUGAUGACAAUGAUGACAUACAAACCACUAAAUUUGAACUGUACAAAAAGGACUCACCAUAGACUGCUAGUGCAAGGCCGAUCACAACUAACCAGUGUAUCCAAAUUGAAAAAUAAUUUCUGCCAGGAAGAGGGAUAAUUAACGAAGAAUGUCAGGAAAAAUCAAUUAGAAAAUCAGUGACAAUUGAACUUGGACUAUACUUGGAUCAAAAUAGAAUCUAUGAAGUACAUGCAAGCAACAUAAAGAAAGAAGACUCCUUUUGUGAAAAUUGUUCCAAUGGGAAGGGACUGAAUUUAGUCAAGUAUCUACCACUACCUGUUCCGAACAUGGCAUGAUUUUCUCAAUCCAAGUAGACUAUAAAAGGAUCCCUCCUACCAGUGGUAUUUAUAAGAAAAAUGCAUGUCUGAAAGGGAAACAGCCAGCUCAGUCCUGAGAGAACCAAAGCUGAACCAUAUUAGUGGCCCUUGUUCCAUCAAGUACUCUUUGACUCCCCAUCCCUAUAUGAAAAACUUCUCUAAUGAUAUGCUUGGAUGGAAGAAUCAGAUUAGAGAUCUGGACAAAACUGUUCAGAUCAAUAUUAGUUAGGUUCCAUGAAUGAAGAGUGAGCUUGAAACUCAUUUGAGGUGGAUUGAAAUCAACACCUUAUAUGUUUAUCUAGAGGUGAGCAACAGUCAAUUUAGUUCGGUUUUGACCAAACACCAAAUAACUGAAUUUUCUGAUUUAUUAACCGAACCGAAAUAAUUUGGUUUGGUUCAGUUAAUCGGUUCGAGAUUUUUUAUUUACUUUUAUUUCUUUUGUAAUUUAAACUAUAAAUAUUUAUAUUUAAUUAAAUAAAUAUAUAUAAUAUUUAUUCAAACAUCAACAAUGAUAAAAAAUUAUAUUCACAUAUAUAAAUAAAAAAAAUAUUUUUAUAGUUAACUACAUUUGAUUUUUUCUUUAAAUGAAUAAACAAAUAUAAUAUUCUAAAUGUUUAUAUAAAUUUCGGUCAGAUCAAUUAUAACCAAAAUUUUUUGAACAAAAACCGAACCGAACCAAAAUAUUAUUCGGUUCGUCUACUUUUAAACCGAACCAAACCGAACUCUAAAAAUAACCACCCCAAACCGAACUAAACUAGUUGGUUCGGUUUUGCUCACCCCUAUGUCUACCAAAUCCACACUUAAAAUAAGACCUUUAUCCAGCUCAUGAACUUAAUCAGGAUUGAGCAUUCUAAUUGACUGAAGAAAACCUAUACAUCGCCAAAUGCAAACCUCACAAUUUUAAAUCCCUAAUGCAAACACAAUGUAAGUUCUUUAUCCUUGCUUUCACUUUAGACGACAAAAUCAGAUUUAAAAAGAUAUUAUACUCAUGAAGACUGCAACUGAUUUUUGAUUACUCGGAAAUUUUUAGAAUUAAGUUAAUGUGGUCUUUCUGCAACAGGAUUCCUUUCUCAGAUGUAUGAUAUCAUUUUAGAUAUUCUCUUGGGUAUUUCCAGUAUUUUCAUAUAAUAUUGCAUAAGCUGUAAUCUACUCCCAGAAUUUAAUUUCAUAAAAUCCAAGCUAUGUCCCUGCACGUCAUACCAAGGGCAUCUUUAUCAUUACUACAACUGUACAAUUAUACACAUUCAAGGCUCUUGCUAUACAGAUAAAGCUUACCAUCAGCAUCACAGAGCCUAGAGAAAACGUUUCACCAGCCUGUUGACUAAGAUAUGCCGCCUGCAUCAAAGAUUACCACGUACAAAUGUAAAGUAAACUAAUGGUCCUAUGAAAAACAGAAAUUAUAAAUGAGCAAUUAACAUACUGAAAAUCAACACACAUGAAAUGGAAGAAAUAGUUCGAGCAGGUUGAAUCUCUGAAGCAGAUAGAUAGUAGACUCUGCAGCUCCAUAAGAUAGCAUGUAGUUCAGUUCCAUCAUUAUCCUGGCCUGAACAAACAAAGAGUGUCAUUUUGGUGAUAAUUUAUUAUGAAGUGAAUCUAAAUUGCACUCAUUUAGAAAGCCAAAGAAGUCCACAAACAGGAGUUCCUGGCUACUGUGUACUAAAGACACUAGAACCUGACAAGACGAAACAAAAAAGUCUCCCUUAUAGAAUUCAAAAAAUGUAGAAUCUGAAAACAAUAAGAUUCCAGGCAGUUAGUUAUUUCUCUUAAACCUUAAAGUACCUUGUCCAAACUCUUGACAGAAGAUGAAAGUUUGCGUAUAGCAGAUUCAGUGUCCUUUGAAAUUGACAGACCCAGACGGCCUGCAAUUCUCAAUCCGCGCAAGAUUCUCGCUAAAUGACAGUACCAAGGCCAGUUAGAACUGAUAACGCAUUUACCAACAGCAUCCUAAGUCUCAAGUAGCUAAAAAAAUUUAAAAAGAGGUGGAAGCAUCUACCACAGUCCUCUUGGAAUGACAAGCGAGCAGGGAUUACAGUCCGUAGCUGUGACAAUAUUACAAAUUAAAAGAGGGGUUGUUUAAAUUACUGCUGAACCAGAGAAUUAAACUCAGAUUACAUUUUGCUAGUAAAUAAAAUGAGGGGAAAGUACCUUUAAAAAACUUAAAUCUGCCAUGCCAUUGGCAUAAUCAAAGAUUUGAUUCAUGAAUGGGUCAAAGAACAAACUGCUUCCACAAUUUAAAUAAUAAAAUUCAGGUUAGAUUGCAUCAACUAAAAUUACAGUUAAUAUCUUGUACUUGUUAUACUUCAACACAUGAUCAUCAUGGCAUAGUGCAUAGUUCUUCACACAUUCAACACAAAUGGUAAAACGAUUGUCCCCAUAAACAAAAUUAGAAGAAAUAAGUAAUUGUGCCUGUUAAUUGUGAAAUCCCGAUGCAUACUAUUUCUCCACCGGAUGAAGUCCCUUCCAUUGCAGCCACUUGGUUUUUGAGAUAUAAGGACCUCUUCUUUUCCUUCAUUGUGCUGAGCUACUGUCUCAAAACUGGAUACCUAUCACAAAGAAAAAAGAAGGAAAGAGAAAAGAAGAUCAAUUAAGAACAUAUGCUUCCUGCAUGAAUUCAAAAUGUUUAGACACCAAUCAUCACAAGUAAUUAAAAUAUAAGUUACUAAAACAGCACUUUUCAGACCUCAACUACUGAUCCUUUCACAUGCACUCUACAUAUAGGAAAUCGUCGUCCAACAAUCUCACAGCGAUGGAAUUGCUUCUUAACCUGUUAUUAGAUAUUGCAAAACCAACACAUACUUAUUGAACUCAACUACCUAUGAACUUAUUAGCAAAAGGAAUCCACAAACAAAAACUGGUAGACGAAAAAGAAAAGAGAAAGAAACAGCAGAAGAAAACCUGUUUAAGCUUAGCAGUGGUGAUCACAUCAAAAUCUUUAGGUAUUCUAUUGAGAAGUAAAUCUCUCACGCAUCCACCAACCAAAUAAGCUUCAAAUCCUGAAAUUCAUGAAAAAACUAUCAACUGGAAUAGGCACUCAUGUAAAGAAGCUUCACAUUUAAAACAUUAAAAGGCACAAUAAAACUAGCAUCAUUAAUGGGUUUGGCGACACAAUAAGGGCCAUACAACAUAAUACAUCAGCUCUGGGAAUGUAUAUGUUGAAAAAAACAACGGUUACCCAUUUACUUCAAAGUGAACUUUUUCCUAAUCUUCACUAAUUAAAAGAAUAUCAAGCGUCACAUAACAACUAAAAGAAAUAUUACCUUUAUUAUGCAGAAUUUUCAAAACAAGCCAUGGAGAAGGUGGAAUCAUAGAACGCUUGAUACCAACAGCACUUGCAUUUAUCUUUUUCCAUUUUGAUAUGUCAAUUACAGUACCUAAUUCAAUUAUUAAAACUGAUAGUUUAAGUAAUUACACGCAUAUAUAACUUCAAACAUUGAAAAAAGAAAGAAAAAAGUAAAUAAAAGACUGAAAGAUGAGAUUUUGACUUACUUUGUUGAUCCUUGGAGUCAGAGGAAAUCAUUCUAGGAUAUAGUGGAGUUUGUUCGAUUAGAGAGUGGUUGAAUCUCUGCACAUGCAUCAAUUGAAAGUAAUGUCAUAAAGCUGUUCGACGAAUUGCUCCAGUGAAAAUAGAAACAGAUAAAGAAGAUGAGCUAACCUGUAAGGUGGUUAGGUUUCUGAGACGAGAUGCGAAGCAACUUUUGGCUCUGAAAAUUAUCGCCAUUUGAGUACAAAAUCAUGGCGCCAUUGCACUUGCACUUGCACUUGCACUUGCACUUGUCUAGUAUUAUUAUUAUUAUUAGUAUUAGUAUUAUUAUUAUUAUUAUGGCGAUCUUGCCGUGUAAUAACAAGUUUGCAUGAUAAAAACUCAGGUUUGUUCAUGGACCAAACAAAGCCCAGGCCAUAUACGUUCGGCAAGUUCAGUACAAUUGUUUAUAAUUGGGCUUUAGUUGGAUUAUACAUAGAGUCGAAUUCAAUAGGCCUAUGCUAGACCUCUUAAACCGCAAACUACUUGGAUUUUUCAAUUUUAAACGCGAGCUCGAUCCGACUUUGCAAGGUGUAAGAUUAAAUUAACAGUUGAUAUAAAGGCAGCUUAAAUACCAUUUUAAAGUAUAUACAGAAAGCACCCCGCCCCGUUAAGGAUCGGACGGCUAGAAAAAGUUUUUAAAGCGGGUCGAAUCAGGUUAAAGUAAUUUCCACUAUAUUUACUUUAAAAUAUAUUUUUAUUAGUUUUUAAAUAUAUGUUUUUAGUAUUUUAAUUAUUAUUAAAUAUAAUCAAAUAAAUAAAAAAUUUAUUUAUUUUUAUUUUAUAAAUAAACAAUUCGAAUAUAGUUCGAGAUAAGAACAAGACGGAUGGCUUAAACACGUCUCCAUUCCAUCUCUAGUAGCAUGACGAAUAUCUUCCGCCCAUCUAAGUAUUACAGAUAAUACCCACGAAUACACAAAAAUUACAUCUCUAUAAAAUUAAAUUAAAUCAAAUCCAUACAUACCUGCNNNNNNNNNNNNNNNNNNNNNNNNNNNNNNNNNNNNNNNNNNNNNNNNNNNNNNNNNNNNNNNNNNNNNNNNNNNNNNNNNNNNNNNNNNNNNNNNNNNNNNNNNNNNNNNNNNNNNNNNNNNNNNNNNNNNNNNNNNNNNNNNNNNNNNNNNNNNNNNNNNNNNNNNNNNNNNNNNNNNNNNNNNNNNNNNNNNNNNNNNNNNNNNNNNNNNNNNNNNNNNNNNNNNNNNNNNNNNNNNNNNNNNNNNNNNNNNNNNNNNNNNNNNNNNNNNNNNNNNNNNNNNNNNNNNNNNNNNNNNNNNNNNNNNNNNNNNNNNNNNNNNNNNNNNNNNNNNNNNNNNNNNNNUGUUAAGGUAUCUUUCUCCAAGACAAACACGCCUUUUGUCUCCCGACAAACCACCACCGCUUAGAGGCGCGUGAAGAGAUCUCCCAUCUCAAGCGCGUAAAUAUUCUAAAAGUCCCUGGAAUACCCAAACACGCAUCAAUUAUAAUUAUACCUUACUCACCUUGGUUAUCCAAGUUACAUGCGAUUCCUCCCAUGUACAUAAUGACUCCAAAAUAAACCGGUUCGUUUUAGUAUUAUAUUCAACUAGUCAGUCUAUUUGCACGUAACUAUCAUUAACGAUAUAAAUUUAAUUAACAAUAAAUUUUAACUAAAUUUAUCUUAUCUUAAGAGUAGUAAUAAUCUGAAAUUUUUUUAAGUGUUUUACUAAUAGAAUUUAAUAUGUUAAAUAAUUAUAUUAAAAAUAUUUGUAAAUCAAUGCAUUAAUAUAUUUUUAUAAAAUUAUUAAUAUAUAAUUAAUAUUUCUUUUUCUUACAUCUAAAUUCAAUUUUCUGAUUUUAGCAAAAAAGAAAAAAAAAAUUAUCUUCUUUUCUUAAAGAAAAAAAUUAAAAUCUUUUUAUCGAUUACAAUUUUUUCAAACCUUCAAAAAGAGCAUUAAAAAAAAAGACUCAACUAGUAAGAUUAUUUUAUCAGCUCCAAAUAAAAGAAGAUUAUUUCAUAAUUUUUAAUCGAUAAAAUAUAUUAUAUAUGUUUUAUUUUACUUUCAUAUUAAAGCUAAAUCUAAAAUUUGAUACAGUAUUUAUUUAUUAAAAUUAUUGACAUAUAUUAAUUAUAGAACGAAAUCAUUAGCAUAUUAAAAAAUUUUAUAUCUUAAAUCUCACAUACAUAUAAAUUAAUUGUUAGUUUUGCUCAAUGUAGUUUUUUUAUUUUCAAUUUUAUUUUGAAUUGAUCAAGUUAUUAUUUAAUUGACUGUUCUAAUUUUUAUUUUUUGUUACAAUCUAUUUAACUUUUUAUUCUUAUAACAUUUAUAUUGUUUUUAUUUUAUUAAUUUAAUUUUUGGUACGAGAAGAAAUUAAACCUAACCGAUUGACUAGUUUGAAAUGGUGCUCACGGUUCGGUUUAGGUAUGGUGGUCGCACCAGCAUACACACACAGUUUAAUUAAAAAUUUCUUUAUUUAUAUAGAUUUUAUCUUUAUUUUUUAUUUGUUUUUUCUCUUAACGACCUUUCUCGCUAUUCUUGGCUAUUGAAUAAUUUCUUGGUUCUUCUUCUUGGCGAUUGUCCCAAAUCUAGGGUUAGGGUUUUCUUUUUAUUUGUUUAAUUAGCUAAAUUGAAAGUGGAUAGUAUGGGAGGAGGCAAUGGUGCUAGUGUAGAUGAAUCAUCCAACGGUGGAGAUGAAGUGAACGUGAACAUAAGAUGUUCUAACGGAUCGAAAUUCUCGGUCGGAAUUAGCUUAUCGGAGUCGGUUGAAACGUUUAAGACAGUGCUCGCAGGAAAGUGUGAUGUGCCGGCCGAUCAACAGAGGUUGAUUUAUAAGGGACGGAUCUUGAAAGACGAUCAAACCCUACAAUCCUAUGGUAUAUACAUAUUUAACUCUGUUUCUUAUUUUUGUCUAUAUUUGAGAAAUUUUUGUUUUCUUUGAUUGAGAAAAGAAAAUUAAAAUUUAUAUUUGCAUUAAUUGACCUUAUGUAAUUAUCAUUGAUGAAUGAAGAACUAUGUGCGGAUCUUAUCAAUUGGUAAUUUUAUUCCUGAGUAGAAUGUUGAUUAGAAGCUAUGGCUGACUAGAAACAGUAAUCACAUUGACAACUUAUUACCCCACCCGCUUGUUUGCAGAAUCUAUUACAAUACUGUUGCUAAUACAGCACUUUUAAUUGCUACUUAGAGAUUUCUUUUAGUGUUGUUUUCUUUCUUUCAAGUGUAAAAUUCUGUUAUUGAAUUCGUGAAGUUGUGGCUGCAUAGUACUGGCACUUGAGUCUGUGUCAUAUUUUCUUUCUUUACAUUCUUUCUUAUACAUCACUUUGAAUUCUACAGGCUACUGCCUGUACGUUUGCAAUGUAUUGGUAUAUUUAUCCUUAAGGAACUUGAAAACUUUUGUGGGAGCCAGGACCUCCUUGUCUAUUUUGGUUCAACUGUUACUUGAGUAGCAAUAUUUUUAGAUGACCAGUUCCCACUAUGAUUUAACUGUUGUACAUAAUACCAUUGAUGUAUUUCUUAUUGCAUUUAUGAGCCCCUGUUGAUUGAUCAAAAAGUUUGAUUUAAUUAAUUUUGCUACAUAUUUAAGGUUUCUUCUUGAUGAGCGUUAGUAAUAUUGUGUUUACUUAUGUUAGUAAUAUUGUGUUUACUUAUGUUAGUAAUAUUGUGUCUACUUAUCUUACAAUGCGGGAAUGAGUUCUGAUGGAACUGAAGGGAAAAUAUGCACAAAUUCCCUGUCUUAUGUUUUUGUUGAGCCUUUUCUUUUUCGUCUGCGUGGUAGGUGAUUAUUAUUAAUUACGUUUCUUUCAUUCUCCUAUUAAAGUGUAAAACAGAUUUAUAACUUGCUUUCUACCUAUCCCUCAUUCAUUAGCUUCAACUCGUCCUUCUUAUGGAUCUAAGCUGGGUUGGCUUGUUAGGUUCUGUUCUUAGUUAUCUUUUUCAUAAUAGUUAAAGGCCUUCCUGAAGUGCAUGGUGUAACGAGUGCGUGCUUUACCAUCUUAACCACAAAAGGUGGGUGACAUUGAUCAGGCAUGUGCCUUAGUAACAGUGUGUCAAAAAGGAUGCACUUUUUUUUCUUUUUUUUAAAGGAAGAUAUCUCAAGUGGUUAUUUGACUGGAGAUAUCUCAAGUGGUUAUUUGACUAUGUCAUAAACUUACUCUUCUUGUACACCAAUCAAAAUGAAAGAACAAAGGAAAAGGACAAUCAGAAAAUGUACCUCUUUUUGCAAACCAUCAUAUAUGAUCUCUUUCUUUCUUCUUUAUUUUUUUAGUCUUCACUCAAUCAUCCUUCUAACUUGUUCCAACUGCUCUUGGUCUUCUCUCUCUUCCUCUCUCUCUGUUAUUCUUUUCAUCUAUCUCAAUGGUUUGCUAUAAAAUUUUAUAAUAGUUGCACCUAACAUCUAUUAGGUGUGUGCCUGUGCCUUGCACCUAGAAUCUGGGACCCUUGGCAUUUUGCCUUUAAUAACUGUGGCCUGUUAAAUUUAGGCGACUGCCAUAGCUGAAGAAUCGGCGUCUUUGAUGGUUGAGUUGUUUGGAUUUUGGUACAUGUUAGAAGGUGAUUCUUAUGACUGUUUUUAUUUAUUUAUAAUUAUUUCUUUUUAAUUCUUGAUGAUGGUUAUUGUAAUGCAGGAUAUUUUCUUUCAUUCUUUUGCCCUCACAGAUGUAAUGAUUGUAAUAAUUAUCAUUAUUCUAUUCUUGCUGGCUGCUACUCAAACCAUCCAUCGCAGAUUUAAAUUUAUCAUCUAAAAAUAAUCAAAUUAUUAAUGACUGGAUGGAACCAAAAAAUAGUCCCCCUCAUGUGAUAUUACAGGAGAUUCUCAUGAUGAAUUGAGUAUGGUUGUAUGUGUGAUAGCAUUUACUUUACCAGGAAUCUCAUUGAUGAGGAUUUGUCUGUAAAAUCUUUGGGCUUGACAUAGAAUAUGCUAGGGUAUUAGUAUUUGUAAUUGGUAAUCAGAACCCCGAGAUAUAUGAACUUGCAGCAAAUCUUUGUCUGUACUUCCUUUUGUUAACAAAUGUGCCAUGUCAUUUGUAUACCAUUUUUAUGGCUUGCUACAUCUUUUCUCUACAUGAUCAGAUGUUCUAGUAAGGUCCAGUCAUGCCAUCAUAUGGGAACCUUCUGCUGAUCUUUUAGUUGGAAUAGCAUUGUAACUUCUGUUGCUUAUGGAAAGUUAUUUGAGGAAGGAUAUAUUAGUAAUUGUUGAGAUAUUUUCUUUUCAGUGCAUGAAUUCAUUGGAUCUGAUUUUUUUCCUUCCAUGAUUGCUAGGCCUGGAGGCAGAUCAUACUGUCCACUUGGUUCGUGGUUUUGCACCAGCUGCAGCAGCUAACACAGCUCCUCCGAGCAAUACUGGAGGUUCAAACCCUGCUUCAACUAAUACAAGGGCUGUGGGUUCCAAUGAAGGUGGAGCACUUGGAGGAUCUGACUUAGGACUAUUUCCAGGAAUGCGUUUAAAUGGCUUGGGUGGCAGUGCUGGUUUGUUUGGCGCUGGACUUCCAGAGUUUGAACAGGUGCAGCAACAAUUGACUCGGAAUCCCAACAUUAUGAGAGAAAUAAUGAAUACACCUGUUGUUCAGAACCUAAUGAAUAACCCUGAGAUCAUGCGGAACUUGAUUAUGAAUAAUCCUCAAAUGCGUGAAAUCAUUGAUCGAAAUCCUGAGCUUGCUCAUAUACUUAAUGAUCCUAGCACCCUCCGUCAAACACUUGAAGCUGCACGAAACCCUGAGCUAAUGCGUGAGAUGAUGCGCAAUACUGAUAGAGCAAUGAGUAACAUUGAAUCUUCUCCUGAGGGUUUUAACAUGCUUAGGCGCAUGUAUGAAACUGUUCAGGAGCCGUUCCUGAAUGCAACCACAAUGGCCGGAAAUACUGGAGGUGACAGUGCAAAUCCAUUUGCAGCUCUUUUGGGGAACCAAGCAGGGAACCAAGCUAGCGAUGCGACCACUAAUCCAUCAAUUGCUAGUUCUGAGUCCACCACUGGUUCUCCAGCUCCAAAUACUAACCCACUGCCAAACCCAUGGACUGCUACUGGGAGUAAGCUUAUUUUUAAGCUUUUUGCUUAAAUUUUUUUAUUGUGACUGCUUAAAAGAUCAAUUGACUGCUUUUUCUAUACUGUUGGACUAAUGCAAUUAUGGCAGCUGGUGGUGCCCUAAAUAAUACCGCAAGGUCGAGUAAUACUGGAGAUGCUAGGCCACAGACCCCUGUUGGGCUAGGUGGACUUGGUCUUCCAGAGUUUGACAGCAUGUUUGGUGCUAUGCCAGAUUCUAAUGUAAUGAGUCAGAUGUUGCAAAAUCCGGCUAUUUCACAAAUGAUGCAAAGCCUCCUUUCCAAUCCUCAGUACAUGAACCAGGUACAACUUAUCACGCCAUUUGGUAAAAGUUUUCAGUUUGAACAUCUUGCAACUUAACAUAAUUUUGUUCCAGAUGUUGGGUUCUAAUCCUCAAUUUCGAAGCAUGCUUGAUUCCAAUUCCCAAUUUAGGGAGAUGAUGCAGAACCCAGAAUUUCUUCGUCAGUUGACUUCUCCUGAGACAAUGCAGGUAGAAGACUUUUCCAGCUGUUUGUGCUUGCUUGUAUCCCCUUCAGUUUCUUUCAUGUGUGUCAUGCACAUGCACUCACAUACUUCUUCCCACUAAACACAUCAUUUUCCACAAACAUACAUGUGAAGUAAAAUUGGGAUGCAACUGAAAGUUACAUUUUGAUAUUGAUUUUUUUUUUUUUUUGGUUUCAAGUUUUAUGACAUUUACAUCAUUUGAUUAGGAUGGAUUGAAGGAAUUGGAAAAUGAUAUGCAUAAUGUUUUGCUAAUACAAAGGGUAAUAAGUUAGAGGUUUCUUUCAUGCAGCAACUUUUGACUUUCCAGCAAGCUCUGUUGUCUCAGUUUGGUCGGCAGCAAUCAAAUCAGUAAGUAGAUAAUAGUUUCCUUUUUUUUUUUUCACUCUCUCAAGCUUACUCUGAUAAUGGUUUGAAUGGCUUUAUCUGUUGGGUUUUAUAUUCUUAUGAUUACCAUACACUUAUGUUGGUUAUCAUUUCAAUGGCUCGUUUUUUUGGCUUACUAAGUUGGUGCCCUCUUGCAGGGAACCUGGCCAGACUGGUGCUGGAACAGGUAUGGAAGAUGGUCUCUAAAAUAUACUGUCUUCUUUUGACGAUGUUGUGGUUACAUUAUUAUGUUAGGUAUUAUUGCACAUAAUUCAUAACUGUCAAAAAGUGAGGUGAAAUUUGAAUGCUUUUAUUCCCAACGGAUUGGUACUGGUGCUGCUCAGCUUCUAUUUUUGAGCUCUUCAACUUGGGACUUGAAGGAAAUGUUCCAUAAGAUUUUGUGAUAUCUAUAUCAUGGAGUGGAUCCUGAAAACUAUUAACUACUUCUGGCCUGUCAGCAUAAUAAGAUUAGUAGCAUUAGUUUUGUCUUGUACUUGAUGAAACGAAAGGGGCAUGGGCAUUUGUACAACAGAAAUGGAAAAUUACUUCAUUAUGACCUUGAGAUUUUGGAUUGAAAACCUUGAAAUAACCUCCUUACAAUGCAUGUAAGAUUGUGUAUCUGUAUUCUCCCAGAGUCUGCUGUGCAGGAAUCUUUGUGUGCUGUUUCACCAAAUGGAAUAGUCUUAAACAUAUAUGUUAAGUCUUAGCAAUUAUCUCGAAAAGUCUGUUUUAUUAGAUCUCUUCCUGUGAAGUUCUGGUGUUCUUGAAGUCCACUGCCUACUUAUGUCAAGAACUUAAUGGGAUUUCCAUUGUAAUUGCUUGUUGACAAUUGUCAUUGCAUGAGAAGGUUUCUGCAUUGGACGCUCUACCAUUUCUCAUUUUAACAGCUGAUGUACCACCAGUGGUUUGACUGAAUUCUGUUUCUCAUAUUUACCCCUCCAUUGACCUCCCAAAACAGGGAGUACUCUCCUCCAUGAAUUCCGCUCUCUUUCUGCUCAUUCACAGUUACUCACAUACUUGUACAUAAAAAGGAGGAUAUUUCGACUUUUGAGCAAUGGGUUGGUUUUUACUGAUUUCAUUAAUGCAGGAACGCCGAACAAUAUGGGCUUAGACAUGUUGAUGAACAUGUUUGGUGGCCUUGGGGCUGGCAGCCUCGCUGUUCCCAACAGAUCCAAUGGUUGCUAUUCUUGCCCUGUUUUUCUUUAUCGUCCUUGAUAUCUGUUUCAUCUGCAUUAAACUUAAUCCAUUCCAUUUCCUGUUUUUUCAGUGCCCCCUGAAGAACUUUAUGCAACACAGUUGUCACAGCUUCAAGAAAUGGGUUUCUUUGACACGCAAGAGAAUAUACGAGCACUAAUUGCGACUGCAGGGAAUGUCCAUGCUGCAGUAGAGCGACUUUUGGGGAAUUCUGGUCAGUAAUUUAUUUAUAUUCCAUUUAUCUGGUAAGUGACCGUUUGGACUGGUGAAGUUGGUCAGUCUAGACCUGAGUUGUAUUCAAGCCCUCUUUUUGGGUAUAAAUAAGUUCUCAAUUAUGAUAGUUAGGGCUGUGGACAUUCUUGGUGUGUCUAUGAUCACUGAAUGAUCUUUUAUCCCUCUCCUCCCUCCUUCUCUCUCUCUAGCGAGGUCUGUCAGGCCAGAGUGUCUUGUACAUACUUUAUAUUAAGAUUUGUUAUAUGAAUUGUCUGCAAAAAUUCCUUUUUAACUUUUCUUAAUUGCAACAACCUCCUCAUUUAGUUUUCUUCUCUCAUUUUUUUCCUUCAAAUGUCUCAAGUCUGGUUUUUAAUGUAUACUUGCUGCCAUUAUUAAGUUCUUCUGUUUCUUUUCUCUUUUGGUUGGUGUCUUUGAUGAUGGAGAAAGUUGUGUCGAAAAUGGAACAGACGGAAAAAGAGAUUUCUUAAAAAAGAUGCUAAAGUUAUUUCUUAUGGUAUAAUGCAGUUCCCCUUUUAAAUAUCUGUGGUUCUGGGAGUAGGGAACUUGCUGCCUGAUACAGUCUUAUUAUUUUGCACAUCUGAAGGGUGCUCAUGGCGCAUAUUUCUUAUGUCUGUAUUCUGAUGGGGUUCAUGCUUUCACAAAAGAAGGUUUUAGAUUUAUUGCUAUUUUGUUUCAACAACCGAUAAUGGUUAAGGGAGACUGCAAUAAAAGUUUCCUAAAACUGAAGCGAUUUUACCUUUUGUAAUUCAAAACAUGUGGUCAUGAACCCUGAUCGCUCUUCCUUACCUAAACUACCCACUGUUUUGAACUACCGGAUUAGAGACAAUUUUUUGCUCCUUGAUGGCAGAAUUACGGAGUGCAGCAUUGAAGAUUGAUGAUGAAACCGAGAAACUUACAAUUUCCUUUGGCAAUUAUACAGAUCAAUAUUCAUCGUAAAGUUAAGAGGUAUGGAUUUAGAAAUGAAAAAUAUAAUAAAUAAUAAUAGGUAAAUGAUUGGAUUUAUUAAAGCUAAUUAGAUGGUUUAAUUUUAUAUAUUACUAUAAAACUAAAAAAAUUAAAUACACAAGCUGCCCAUGUGGCAAAGUUUAAUUUGCUUUAGAUCUUUCUUUUUAUUAUUAUUUAUUGAAGGCCUAACAAUCAAGUAUACUGGGGAUAGUCAUUAUCUUACAAGCUAUAAAAAUAAAAACUCAUUGCAUAAAAAAUGGUUCAAAUCAGAGAUUUUUCACCCUAAAAGUAAUUUGAGUUUUUUUUACUUUUGCUUUUAAGGAAUUCUAGAUUUUAUAAUUUAAUAUCUAUGAAUUCUGAAAUUUAUGGAUUUUAAGAAUAUUAUCUUUAGAUUAAAUAUAAAAACAAUAAUUCCAUAUUGUAUACUAGAUAAUAACAAAAAUUUGAAAAACAAAGAAAGAAAGUAAAAAAAUAAAGACCUAUGUACCUUAUUUAUUUACUAUUUUUAUCGGUUUAGUUUUUCCUUUUUGUAUUUUUUUUUUUUUUUUUUUUUGGAAAACUAAGUCUAUCGGAAAAAUGGUUUUAUGAAAAAUUAAAAUCAAAUUUAUAUAAUACUGAAGUGAUUUUUAGAAGUACAUUAGCGUGGGUUGGUUUUCUUUUGGACCGAACGCUGCUCAUCCUUAAUCACAUCCCUCCCAGGAAAAUAAUAGAGCAAAAACAUGAACUAAAUUUAAACCCAACAAAGUAAAAAAUCUUCAAUAAAUUAUGUAUACUGACUAAGGAGUUAUACAUUUUCUCAGGCUAAAGUGUCAAUUUGCCCCUUAGAUUUAGAGUCAAUGGUCAAUGCUCCUAGGUUUUAAGUUUAUGUACAAUUUACCUAGUAACUUGUUAAAAGUGACAAAUUCAUCUCAAGCAGAGAAUUAAAAUCAUAAAAAAAAAAUUCAAUUUGAUCCUUGAAUUUUAAAUUAAUUGUCAAUCGUAUAAAAAUAAAUGUUUAUUAAGUUAUGAUAAAAUUAUUUAAUUUUUAACGUAAUUUAAUCAUAAUAUCUAACAUAAAUAAUUUAAUAAAUUUGUUUAAUUAAAUAAUAUUACUAAAAUCAUAUAAGAUUAUGCUUUUAUAAAAUUAGAGUAAAAUGUUAUAUUUUAGCAAUAGUCUUAUUUCUAAUUGAAAUAAUUUAAUAAUUUUUAUUUAGUCUCGGACUUGGUUCAAAUCUUCAAAACUUAACUUGGUGAGAUAUUGUAUAUGACUUAAUAUUUUUAAAAUUACUUAAUAUUUGAAACAUUUUAUUAUACUAUUUAUUAUAUAAGAAUUUGUACAAAUCUAUUUAAUUCUAACAAACAUAAUACAUUAUCACAAUUUAUACUUACUAAUUAUCUUAAUUGAUAAUUAUUAACUUUUAUUAGACAUUAAGAGAAAUUAUAUAAAUUAGAUAAUUUUUCUCUAACUCAAUUAAAAAAUAUUCUUAUAGAUUUUGAUACUUAGUAUAGUUCAAUGGCCAAAUUUAAUUCUUAUUAUGAAUUAAAAACUUUAAUUAGUGGAAAUUGGUUACUUCUAACAAGUUGUUGGACAAAUUGACGAGAAAGUUCAAAUAUUGGUAAAAUUGUUCAAUGCCUCCAAAUUGAGGGACCAAAUUGAUCCUUUAUCUUAUUUUCUCGACUAGUGUUGUACAUUAGCAAGGUUGGCCUUUUUCGUUAUAAAUUAAUUUCUCCUUUAUCAUUUUUUUUUCCAAAGCUAUUUUCAUACGAAUAAAAGUAAAAAUGUGUACAAAUAAAAAUGUAAAUAUAAUAAAAUUCAGUUCAAUUUCAUGCCGUGGAAUAAGAAAUUAACAAAGUAGUAAUGGAUAACUUUUGUACUAAAUAGCAUAAAAUAGUAAUGAAAAUAAGCAUUAUUAAAUUUAUCGAGAUUUAGCAACAUAAUAGUAUUAAAAUGAGCCAUGAAUGAUUUUUGUUUCUAAAUUCAGCACUAAUUUUUAGCAAUGAAAUAACAAAGAAUUGGCGACAGCCUUUAGCAACAGAAAGGUAUUCCAUUGCUGAAGUAUCACACGUAAUAGGCAACAAAAUUAAUGGUAGACACAUUUUCAUUGCUAAAUGGCGACAAAUAAAUAGUUCUAGCUAAUGUAGAAUGCAUUACUUAUCAUUUCUUUCUUUCUUUCUUUUUUACAGCCACUGGAAAUCUUAUAUUAUUUUCUUAUAUUUUGUCUUUCUUCCACUCAUUUAUUUCAUUUCCAACUGAAUUAGUUAAUGAAAAAUGUUAUUUAGUAGUGAUAUAAUAUUAAUUAAAUUUAAUUAGAAAAUAGACUAAAAUAACUCUUAAUAAAGUUUAAAGUAUUGAAAAUAAAUUAAAAUCUGGUGAGAAAAAUCAUAAAAUUUUUGUUAGGAGCAUCCACAGUAAUUAAUGCGAUCAAUUUAAAGUCUUUUUCCAUCAAACUUUUAAGUGACAAAUGGGUUUUUAUCAAAUAAUUAAAUUUUUAUUUCAAUUUGAGAUACAAUUACUGUGUCUUAUUUGAGCCAAACAGCAACAUCCUUUUUGUUAAUUCUAAAUUGUUCUCUAAUUUUUUUUCUUUUCUUGCUCAUUUAUUCUUUUAGCAACAAAUAUCUAUGUCCUUACUCUUUUGGCAACCAAUAAUUACUUUAGCAAUGAAACUAAUAAAUAAAUGUCAACUAUCUAUCAGUUUAGUGUAUAAGUAGAGACAUAUACUAAGUUUUAAAUAAAAAAUUUCCAUUUAAUAAUAUAUAUAUAUAUAUAUAUAUAUUUUCUUCUUCAUUUCAUUUUCUAUCUCUCUCAUUUUUUUCUUUCAAUUUUAUCUACCACUUUCCCCCUUUUCCUUCCUCUCUUCCAUCAAUUUUUUUCUCUUUUUCUUUCUUUUCAUUUUCUUCACUGUUUCUUCAUUUUUCUUUUUCAUUUUCUAUUUUUUUCUAUAACUUUUUCCUCCACUUUUCUCUUUUAACAGCAAUAACAAUGAUAAAAACAAUAUUAUUAUUGAUUAAAAAUCAAUUGAAUAUUGAAAUAAAAUAAAAAAUUGAAAACUGAUUUAAACAGACAAAUAUUCCUUCUUUUUUUUAAUCAAUAGACAAAUAUUCCUAUUCCUUAGAAAAAUUGACAUUGUAACAAUAGGCUCAGUAUUGUAUUUUAAGGAAAAUUAAAACUACUUUAGAAAUAUUUUUUUGCCACCACUAAUUUUGUGACUGAUUCUUUAUCGUUGCUAGUUGUGGCUGAAUAAUUAAUCUAUCAGAAAAGCAACUUAUAUUUUCUUUUUCUUUUAGCGACGAAAAUUCUCACUGAAACUUACGAAAAAAUAUAUUUUGUUUCUAAUUUUAGUGACAGACCAACUAAUUCCUUCACUAAAGGUCUUUCGCAGUGGAACUUUGCCCAUUAGCAAUGGAUUUUAUUUCAUUAUAAGUAUCUUCUUCUUCUUCUUCUUCUUCUUCUUUUAGUGAUCCAUUAGGAUUAUGAUGGGACACAAUUUUUGGUAUAUAUACUUUUCUUUUUCUAAUUUGGAUUUUAAAUUCAAUCAAAAAUCUAAAGUUGAGACUAGUAAAGAUGAAUACUGCUAUUUAUGAUCUUAACGGCCUACUUAAUUUGAGAUUUUUCAAAAUUCUUAAUACCCUGUUUGGCAAAAAUAAGAUUAAAUUUCUUAAAACAAAUAGAUGUAAGAUUCUAAAACGAAAGAUAUAGUUUUUAAUUUUAUUUCAUUUUAAAAAAAUGGAUAGUAAAUAAAAAUUUUAGAAAGUAAUCUAAGUUUUCUUAACUAUAUUCUAUUUAAUUUAUUGAUUUGGUGGAUUGAGAUUUGCAGAGUUUUGGAAGUUUUUAAAAAAUUUUAAAAAAUUUAUUUUUUAAAUAUUAUUUUCUUUUUAAAAAAGGAUUGAAAGUUCUAAAACUUUAUAAAACCUUCAAACACUUUAAAAGACUUUCAUCCAAGUAAGCCGAAUCGGUUGCAUGAAACUUUAGAUUCUCUAAUUCUUGUUUGGAAAGAUGUAAGUUAAAUAUCUUUCAAAACUCAACUCAUCAAAUCGGUAAGUUAAAUAUGUAGAAUUUUAGUAGAAUUAAAUUUUUUUAUUAAAAUUUUUACCGUUAUUUUUUACAGUAGCUAAUUCAUUAUUAUCAAAUUAAAACCUAUAAAAACUCUUAGAAUUAUGUAAAUUAUAUCACCAAAUAUAGAGAUACUGAUAUAGAUAGUCAUUCAAAUUCGUAUUUAAUUUUAUUUUAGUCACAAAAUUUUAAUUUAUUUCGUUUCAGUCAUUCAAUUUAGUCAUUUCUCAAAUAAAAUAUUGGUACGUUGUGAAAAUAACGAAUAAAAAAAAAUAAAAAUAAAAAUGUGAUGUGUUAAUUUUUUAUUGGCACAGUAACUAAAUUGCAAUUAAAGUUAAAAUUGAAUGAUUGAAAUAAAAUAAAAUAAAAUAAAAUUUUAUAAUCAAAAUGAAAUUAAAUGCAAAACUCAGUAAUCAUUUAUAUUAUUAUUCUAAAAUAUAUAUAUAUCGCUUUUAAUUACAACGGUAAAAUUUCCACCCAUUGCCAAUUUCUUCAAGGUAAAAUUUUGUUUCUUCUCUUUAUUUUUAUUUUUAUUUUUUUUCCAAUUCUAUAUUUCUUUCUUUACAGUCUCCUUAUUCCUUUAGUAUGAAUCUAGUGAAGUUGACUACAAGACUGUUUAAUCAAUUAUUAUUGUUUUGUAUCUGUCACACGAUCAACUGUCUUAUCCAAAUCUAAUGAAUUUUUUGGCAGAUUGAAAAAAUAAAUCAUGUAAAAUGUUUGACUGUCUUGCUGGCCAAUUGACUGGCAAAACUUAUUAGAUUUCUAGCCUCAAAAUUCUAUUUAUGCAUUUUCUUUAUAAGCUCAAAUUAAUUUACUUAAUAUAGAGGGUAAAAACCAACCUUAGCAAACUGGGUACUUAUAUCCUUAUGAGUUAUAUUUCAUUCUUAAGUGCAUUUUAUUAUUUCUUUCUUUUCUAAUAUGGUUUUGCUUAACUUAUGAAUCUUUUAAUAUGUUGUAACAUGGGUUGUAGACAAAUAACAUAUGAAAAUAAUGUAAAACUGAUUUAAUCCUUAAUUUUGUAAUUUCGAAGCUUAAAUCCUCAUUUUUUAUAAGGAAUUAUUCAAUGGAGAGAAGACGAUAAAAUUAAAAAUAAGUACAAUUGAAAAGUACAAAUAAGAAUUUUCAAUUAAAUAGUAAAAAUUUAUAUUUAUAUUACGCUUCACUUGGUGGCUAUGUGAAUCAGAAAUCAAAUUUUUAGUCUUUACAUGAAUCUAAUUGUAGAAAUACUAAUAAAAGAAUUUAUAUAAAUGGUAUUUCAAAUACAUUAGAUUCUACAAAUAUUUCCAUAAAAGAGAAUUCAAAUAUUAUUAUAAACUCCAAAAAGGGAAUAAAAUACUCCAUAAACUCCAUAAAUGGAAUCAAAUACUUCAUAAAAAAAUUUAGAAAAUUCUCAAUGAAAAAAUAUAAAAAUAAAUAAAAAUAAAAAUAAAAAAGAAAAGCAAGAGUUUUAUUGGUCUUGGAUCCAUUAAACCCUCAUUUCAAGACCUUCAAAUUCAAAUAAUAAAUUUGAUAGCUAAACCAUAUGAAUAAAAAUGGCAUAGGGACAUUUUAAUACAUGUUAGGUGAGUCCAUGAAAUGAGUAACCAGGGUUUAUAUGUGACAGCACACACACACACAUAUAUAUACACAUGUCCAAACACGACCUUGCCAAUACAUUAGGUGCCAAACAAUUAAUUCUUCAUAGUAUUUAAAAUCUAACUAAGAUAGAAUCCAUUACAACUGGAACUGAAUCUAUAUACAGCUGAGAUUAUGAUAAUGUCAUUCUUAGCCAUUAGUGUCAAUUUUUGUGCUUUCUUUUUUUUUCCAUUUAAAUCAGAUUUCCUAUUUUUAUUUUCUUUUUCGGUACAUUGAAGAGAGAUCUCUUUUUCUAUUUUUAUUUUUAUUUUUUAAAAAAAACCAAAAUUGUUUUUAUUAUUCUUGGGAGCGUACAAGAAAGUACAGCUUGGAGAGUGAAUAUUCUGAUGAGGCUGAUCAGACUUCACUGGUGAAUCUCAAUCCUGCUGCAGGUUUAUAUUGAAGGAAGACUAAAUAAAGAAACUUUUUUUGAAAUGCUACAGAAAUGAAUGAGAUGGUUUCCGGUGUAUUUCUGGCCAACAAAUUUUUAUGGAAAAUUAUUUGUAAAUAGUUUAUUUCUUACAGAGAUUAAUUACAUUCUAUUAAUUCUGCAAUACUGUUAAAAGAAAUAAUUGUACCAUUUUCAUAUGUAAAUCAUAUAUGUUAUAAACAGUUAGCAUUCCUUGUCAAACAAAAAACAAAAUGUAAAUCAACAUGAAUUUUGUUUAUGCAACCCAUAAAAUGCAUAAAAAUUAUAAUUAUAAUUUUGUUUAAUAUUAUAAUUAUUUCUCAAGAAAAUGGUUUUUGUUUUAUAGAACGCAUGGAUUUUUGGUUCUAAUCUUAUGAAUUUGAUUAGUUUUUGUUUUAUUUUUUAAUAGUAAUAGUAAUUGAAGAAUAAAAGAAGUAAAUCUUAAUCUCCUGCCAGUGCAAAAAGGUACCAAUAUCCAUUGCAUCUCCUUGGAAGGAAACAAUGUCUCUCAAGAGAGAAACAAAAGAAAAAAAAAAAAAAACUGCCCCACUUGAGUAACACUAUAUAACUGCAUCAAAUGGCCGCUUCAGAUUCUUGUGCGAGAAAAACAUUAACGUUGAGAACUUGUAAUAAGCACUUCUUUCUCUUCAAUUUGUCAAUUUCCCAUUACCCUAAUGGCCAGCUCUUCCAGGGAAAACUCUCCCACCAAAUCCAACAGCCCUAAGGGCAAUGCUAAUGAAGAUGCUGUUCCUGUUCCUCCUGUUUCUGCUACCUUUCCUGUUCCUGCUGUUCCUGUUGCUACCUUUCCUGCUCCUGGCCCUGCUCGUGCCCUUCAGUUUGGAGAAGGAUCCUCUUCUGCGCCUCCUCUUCAGCAAUUAGUUGAAGGGAUUUCUUCUCCUUCGUCAUCUUCUUCUUCAUCCCCUGGCAAUACUCCGCCGCGUAGGAUUGUUGAGAUUGUGCUUGGAAGCAGUCAUGGCGGUGGUAAGUCUGGAGAGGGUUCUCCAAAAAAGAAGAAAGCUUUACCAUCAUCAGGGAAAAAGGAUGGUGAAAGUAAUCCAGGGGUAGAGAAGAAGAGGAAGAAAGCAGAAAUGGAUGCUCCAAAGUCAGAUCCAAUUUGUUCUUUAUGUGGGAAAAGAUUUGGUUCUUGGAAAGGUGUGUUUGGACAUCUUCGCGCUCAUCCUGAGCGUGACUGGCGUGGUGCCUUUCCACCACCAAAGGGAGAGGCUGCAUCUUGGUCUCCAAUCAAGACUGGUGGCCCUGAUGAUAACCAGGCUAUGCAAGUUGAAUUGCUGGCUCCAACUUUACUGGGUUUGGCUCGCGAAACCCUGUCAAAGAUGCGUCAGGAAUCCACUAGGGUUGGAAACAUAGAUUUGAACAAGGAACCCGAGUCAUCUUCUUCUCCCUCUCCUCCUCCUCCUCCACAGGGUGGUGCUAGCGCUGGCUUGGAUUUGAACAAGUCUCCUCCACCGGAAAGCGAUCAGGAUGGAAUCAAUGGUAAGGAGGAGUAAGGAAGAGGAGAGGCUGCAUGCAUGCAAACCCUAGACACAGUACACAAUAAACAUGGCGAAGUGAUACUGUUAUGCAUUAUUAUACCACAUUAGUUUGCAUGCCCUUUUUCUUUCAGUGUUGUGUUCAUUCCUAGUUCGAUGAAUUAUCAUGGUGUAAUGGAAUGAACCGGCGCCGCCCCCCUCCCCCUCUUUUUUCUUUAUUUUUAUUUUUUAAAAAUUUCUGUAAUCACUUCGUUACAUGUAGCCUAUAUGUAAGAGAUAGAUUAUAUUAUAUAUGAAUGGUGUGUUUUUUUUUUUUUAAUUCUUUUGGUGGUUUAGUGAUUUGAAUUUCUUGGGAACUGUGAAUUACAUCAUGAGCAUGACCAAAGCAUAUAUGCAAGUUCCUUCGCAGAUUUACUGUACAUACAAUAGGCGCAACCGUAUAUAUAUAUAUAUAUAUAUAUUUAUACCUUCAGAAAUCCUCCAAAAGAGAAGAAAAAAUUCCCUCUCCGAUUGGCCUGGAUGGUCGAGUUGAUGCUGCAGGAGUAGCGUUUCCUAGGAUGUGUUUGGUUUAGUUUGUGUCUCAGGAUUUCUUAAUUUCCUCCUCCUAAUGUUUAAAGAAAAAGAGAAAACAAUAAGAGGACUGACAUCUCUUUUGUAAAGUGUAUAUGAUUUUUCUUAUGAGUUAGAUUUGUGAUUGAUCAUAAGAACGGUGCUUACAUUUUAAGUUUUUAGUGCAUAACUACUUUAUCGAAUCAUUUAUAAAUACCUAUUAACGGUCAACUUGCGCGUUUAUUUUAAAGAUCAAAUUUCGCGCGCUUAUUUUAACGGUUAACGUCCGCAUCUUUUAUAAAUGUCAAGAGUUAUAUAUGGUAUCUUAUGAUUGUAAAACCGUUAUUUAAACGAUUAACUUCCGCAUCGUAAAACCGUUAUAUAUGGUUCCGCGCCUUUUUUAAAUACUAAGAAUUAUACUUGAAUUAAUUAUGAUUGGUAGAUUAAGCGUGAGUAAAAUUUAUGGUUAUAUGUGUCUUAUGACAUUAAUGUUUAAUUUGCUAUCAAAUCAUUUAUAGAUAUCCAUUAACGUACAAUUUCCAUAUAUAUUUUAAAGAUAACUUCAGCGUGCAUAUUUUAACGAUUAACUUAUGUAUCUUUUUUAAAUGCUAAGAGUUAUAUAUGGUAUUUUAUAGUUGUAAAAGCGUUAUUUGAACAAUUAACUUCCGUGCUUUUUUAAAUGCUAAGAACUAUACUCUACUUUAUGAUCGAUAAACCAAUCAUGAGUAAAAUUUAUGGUUAUAUGUGUUGUAUGACAUUAAUUUUUAAUUUGCUAUCAAAUCAUUUAUAAAUAAUCCAUUAAUAAUCAACUUUUGCGUGCAUAUUUUAACAGUCAACUUUCACGCGCAUAUUUUAACACUCAACUUUUAAGUGCAUAACAGGUAACUUCAAUAUUUAUUUAAAUGCCAUGAGUUAUAUAUGAUACCUUGUGAUUGUACAAAUUGUUACCUUUAACGAUUAAUUUCCGCGUCUUUUUUAAAUACUAAAUAUAUACUUUAAUUAAUUAUGAUCGAUAGACCAACUAUGAAUAAAGUUUAUAGUUAUAUUGUUUGACAUUAAUGUUUAACUUGCUAUAAAUAUAAAAUUAUUAUGUAUUCAAUAUAUAUACUUUUUCAUUUAAUUGUUAUUGAUUAUUUAAUAAAAAAUUAUUUAAAUAAUAUUUAUAUUUAAAUAAUAAUUCAUUUAGCGGUAAAUUAUUCUCUCUCUCUCUCUCUAUAUAUAUAUAUAUAUAUAUAUAAUCAUUAUAUUUUAUAAAAAGUUUAAUUACUAAUUAAGUCUCGAAUUUUAUAAUUUUUAAUAAUUUUAUCUAUUUGUUUCAGAUUUUGCAAAUAAACAUCUAUAUUACUAAUUUAUUUUCAGAAAUUCUCUUAAGAGACAAUUUUCGCCAUUUCAUAGUAAAAAAACAUGUGAAAAGUCUAAUGUACUUACUAAAAAAUAAAAAUUUAGAAGUUAGCAAAAGAUGUAUUUCAAAUUUAACAAUGUAGCUAUUAAAUAUCUUAUAUGCGUUCAUUUUUUCACACUUUUUAUCUAUUGCAGUAAACCUUUUGCUAAUUCUUAAAUUUCUUUCUUUUAAUAAUUACAAUCGAUCUACAACGUCAUCUUCAUCAUUGUAAAAUUAUAAAAAUUAUUAUCGAAAAGUGCUUUUAAAAAUAAAAUGGAAGAAUAGAUAUUUAUUUUUAAAUUUUAAAAUAAUUGGAUAAAAUUAUUAAAAGGUGUAAAGUUCAUGUUUAAUUAGUAAUUAGACCUUAGUUAAAAGCUAAGAGUUAUAGUUUCUUAUAAUCAUACAAACCCUACUUCUAUGCUUUUUUUCUUAAUGCCAAAAGUAAUUCUCUAGAUCUUAUAAUUGCAUAGAUCUAAGUGCGAGUAAAAUUUAUAGUUGUACGCAUGUCAUAGCAUAAUAUUUAAUUUUAUGUAAGUAUAUGAUUGUUGUGUAUUCAAUAGGUAGAUUCCAUAUAAUAAAUACGUUCGUAUUAAAAAAAAUGAUUUAAACAUAUAUGCUUAGUACUAAACUUUAACAACUAGUUUUUGCAUUUUUUUUAACUGUUAAUAUUUUAUAAUGAAAUAGUAGAAGUAAAUCGUGACUAAAAUAUUAAUAUUUAUGUGAUAAAAGAAGCCAUAUAUAUUUAAUUUUCUAUAAAUAUAUGUUGUUUUGUAGUUUAUAUAUAGAUUUCAUGAAAAGUAUUUUUCAUUAUUUUAUGACUUUUUAUAAAAGAACUCAGCUAAGCACUAAAUUUAACAGCUUAGUUUUGUACCACUUUCAGGUAUAUAAGACUCUAAUUACUAUGCAUUUCUAUCAUUCUUUAACUUGCUUCAUCUUCUCUCUAUCACUAGCUCUCUCUCUCUCUCUCUCUGCUCUCAAUCUUCCCUUUUCUUUGCUAUGGAGAACCCCAGUGACCCUAAGCUUGAGAGUUCCUCCCCUCAGCAACAACCUCAAGGCAAAAACAAUCCACAAAAUGAUGCAAAUGAAAACAUUUCUGGUAGGUCUUUACCACCCAAUGCUAUGCCUAUCUCUAGACUUGAAGUUACCACGCCUACCCAAUUUACUAUUGACACUGCUCCAAGGCCUAGUGCUCAUAUUAGGGUUCGAGCAGGAACCAAAAAUGGUGGUGGUGUCAAUGCAGGUGCUGAUAAGGGUUUUCGGAAGAAGAGAGGAAGAAGCUUAAGCUAUGAUGGUGACGUGAGGCCUAAGAGAAGAGCUGAUACUGGAUUACCAUCUACUUGUGCUGUUUGUGAAAGAAAAUUCCCAACUAUUUAUGCACUCUUUGGGCAUCUUCGUAUGCAUAACAAGAGGGAUUGGAGAGGGGCUUUUCCUCCUCCGGUGUAUAAUCCAGAUUGGGUUGAAAAUGGUGGUAGCAAUGUUGAUCAGAGUCUACAACAACCAGCAGCAACUCAACAAGUGGAAGAAAAGGAGGUGAUACCAGAACUUCUUGAUGUUGCUCAAGAAAUCUUAAAGAAAAUGCAACAAGAAAACAUCAGUAACGUUACUGAUCCAAUCAAGAAACUUGAAUUUGAUCUUAAUCUUCUUCCCCAAGAAAACUCUUCUGGUCCAUCAUCUAACAUGGCUUCUUCUCAAGAAAAGAUAGCUACUAGGUUUGAUCUUAAUUUCCCUCCUCCAAAAGAAGAUAAUGAUGAUCCACCAGCAAUUUGAGAUAUAUAUGCUACGUAGUAAUGAAGAUUACAUAAAUAUUUAAUUUUUGUUCUUAGUGUUGUGAGAAAUAUUACUUGGUUUUUGGCGUAUAAUUUGGACGUGCAUCAAAGAUCGAGUAAUAAGGUUCUCUUAUUUUUCUUUUAUAGUUUAUUAGUCUGUGUUGCAGUCUCGAAUUUCCAAAAGUAAUCCUCUUGUAUACUGAAGAAAAGUAAAACUUCUUUUUCGAGUCAUACUUAUAAUUAAUUAAGUGUAAUCGAGGUGCAAUAAAUGUAUCGAUAUAUUGAUCUAUUUCACUUUUUGUGAUUAUGUAUUUUUUGAGCCAUACUUGUAAUUAAUUAAGUGUAAUUGAAGUGCAACAAAAUAUAUAUGUCUAUAUAUAUAUAUACAUAUAUAUAUGAACAUGUAAGAAUUUAAGGAAAAACAUGCCCACGUAAUAUGUUGGACUAAAUUUUUUUUUUCUUGCCAAUCAAAUAAUUAAUUAGUAUAAAUCUACGUGGAAAUUAAUCUCCAGAGUCCUGUAUAAUGAAUGAGAAUUUAAGGAAAAAUUGACAACAGAUUCUGGUUAUGAAGACCAGAGGCCAGUUUUGGUAAGUUUCUUCAGAAUUUAGUUGUCAAUAUCUGCUAUGUAUAUAUCCAUCCGCCUUCUUUUUCCCAAAUUUGGUUCUUUCUGGUCAUCACCAUUAUUAUUCUUCUGAGAAUUUUGCACAUUUUAGGUAACAUUCUCAUAAUUUACCUCCUCAUUUUUCAAUGCACAGCACAGUGAUGACAAAUAUUUCUAUAUAUGUCUGUUUUAUAAUCAAAGUAUAAGUUGGAAUUACAUUUUUUUUUGGAUUCAUAUACCAAUUAUUUUAGUGAAAAUAAACAUGCCAUAUUAGAAUAGGAUUUAUGUUUUUGGGUAAUAUCUUAUAUUUUCCUUUUAGUCUUGUAACAUUUAUUCAGGUUCAUGCACCAAACAACACAAAGAAAUAUUGCUUCAUUUGCACCUUAUAAUUUCUUUAGAAAAAACUUAAUGGAGUGAAUGACAUUGCCAGGAGAUUUUAAGGAAUUAAGUCCUCUAUGUAAAAGUUGAAUUUUAUUUAAUAUAAACAUGAGGAGUAUGUCCCUUUAACAAUUACAUAAAUGUAAUAAAAAAUUAAAUAAAUAGUAUUAUAAAAUUCUGAUCUUUAUAGUCACUUCCUUUAUGCCUUUUCUCUUUUUUUCUUUUGUCCUGUAAAAAUGAAAGCAAGACUGAGAAAUGAAGUUGCUCUACAAGUGUAAUGGUGAAAGGGAGGGACUUGUUUGUUCAAAUUUGGAAGAAAAUAAAAGCUUAUUUGGAACUUUUUGAUAGCAUGUAUCAUUAAUUCAUAAUCCAAAAAGAUAAUCUCUAAAUUAAAUGCACAUAUAUGUCAGAGGAUCCUUAAAGAUUUGACAUCUUAAUUUAAAUUUUAUAGAUUUUGUCAAUCUCACUCAGAUUUUCCUUAUUUAUUUCAUGAAUAUACACUAUGGUUGUUGUACACAUGCUCAGUUGUGUUUCAAAGUAUUUGGUGUUUCCUUCCAAAAAUGAAAAAGUCUGGCUUCAUUGUUUCUACUGAGAAAGGGUUGGUGCUUACUGCUAUAAAACAACAGAAAAGGUAUAUUUGUGCAAUAAUUUACUAACAAAAAAGGGAUAAAAUCUCAUUUGGGUAAACACAGCCUACAAAUAUAGUUACAAAUUUAGUUAAUGAGAGUAAAAACUGUGGCCACAAUUUUUACUGAAUUAUAGUAAAAAAAAAGUAAAUAAAAUAUAGUUAAUUACCAAAUUUUGUGAUUGUGAUAAAAUUAUAUUACUGAACCUUCCAGAAAAAGAAAAUAUAUCACACAACUUUGGUUUAGACCAAAUAAAUAAUACAAUAAGUUGAUGUCAAUAAUCACAGUAUGGUAUAUUAAUAUACUUAAGGGCUUAAGAUUUUUCAACAAUUACAAAUCAAUAAAACAUAUUUUGUUCUUCUUCUGCUUCUUUUCAAUUUUCAAAUUUUUAAAUAUAAAUUAGGUUUUAUUUACAAAAUCUAAUUUCUUAGGCGAACACAAAAUUUAAUUUCAAAUGCAUAUCAAAAAUUAUAACAAAAGUCAUAAAAAAAGGAGAGACUAUCCGAUAAUUGUGCCAUAAUAUAUAAUCUUAUCCCACCCUUAUUUCUCUAAUUUAAUUUCCUUUCAACAUUUUUUUAAAUAUUUAAAUAUUGUAUAUAUAUAUAUAUAUAUAUAUAUAAAUGUUAAAACUUUCUAAAAUUAGAAUUAAAAAGAACGUGAUACUAUGGUCAUCAAUUGUUAAGAUUUGUGAUAUCUAGUUUAACUAAGUAUUUCAGAUUCUUAAUAUGAAUUCAGAAUCUCAUACUACAAAAAUAGAUCUGUGUUAAAUAACAUGAUUUAGUAGUAAAUAUCAUUCAUCGCUAAAUUGCAAUGAGUUACUAAUGGAUCACUGACGGCUGAGAGCAAUGAAAAAUCUAUCACAGACAAACGACGGUAGAGAGGGAUAAAAAAAUAUGCUAUGGCUGAGAAGGAUGAAAAGAAAGUGACAAUAUGAAAUUUUGUGUUAAAACUUUCUAAAAUUAGAAUUAGAACAAAAUUGAGCUAUCAUAGUCUUCAAUUAUUGUGCUAUGUGAUAUCUAGUUUAACCAAGUAUUUCACAUUCUUAAUGUGAACUUAGAAUCUCACACUAUAAAAAUAUAUAAAUUUAAUGACAUAAUUUAACAGUAAAUAUCAUCCAUCGCUAAAUUGCGUAGAGUUACCGACGAAUAAUGAUGACUGAGAAAAAUAAAAAAUCUACUACGGAUAAUCGGCGACUAAGAGGGAUUAAAGAAUGCUAUGACUAGGAAGGAUAAUAAAAUGCAAAAAUGAAAUGUUUUGCUAAAACUUUCUAAAUUAGAAUUAGAAGGAACCUGAGCUACCUUAGCCUUCAAUUGUUGAGCUAUGUGAUAUCUAGUUUAACCGAGUAUUUUACAUUCUUAAUGUGAAUUCAGAAUCUCAUACUAUAAAAAAAAAUUCUAUAUUUAAUGACAUAAUUUAGUGAUAAAUAUCAUCCAUCACUAAAUUGCAACGAGUUACUAACGGAUCAAAAAAGGGUGAGAGUGAUAAAAAAAAUCUACCAUGGAUAAGCGAUGACUAAGAGGGAUGUUAUGGCUGGAAAGAAUGAAAAAAGAACUAUAAGCUAUAGAUUGCCUGGCGAUUUGAUUAAAUUACUAGGCGAUCUAUAGCUUAAAGGAAUUUAAAGAAUAGAUCCAGCUUUGAAAGGUAAGAAAGUAGCUAUAACCAUACCUUGCUUCCAUUAUUUCUCCUCUUUUUCAAUUAAAAAAACUAACCGUAGCAUCUAUCAGAAGUCCAUGAUGUGUUAGAGGAUGCAGAGAAAGCGUGAUUACACCAAAGUACCAUCUCUAACCACUGAUUAUACUUUCUCAGUUAUCAUUGAUUCGUUCGUAACUUAUUGGUAACUCGACGCACCAUCUUUAACAAGUGAACAUAAGUUUUUUUAUUAAAACUUCCUUCACACAUAAAAUAUUACACUAAAGUAUAACUUGGUUUUUGACCCACACGUGCGAUUCUAAAAAACUAGCAUGGAAUAAUACUUGGCUUUAAGAAAUUAGGUAUAUAGAAAUCCUAUUUAUCAAUAACCUCCACCCUUACUUUGCUAAUAAUGCUAGAUUAAAAUUAUGAAGUUUUUCAAAACUUGACCCUCCCUCUUCUUUAGCAUUAUAACCUUUAUCCUACCUAGCUAAUUCGGUGUAUAUUUUCUUAUUUGAACUAUUAUUUUCCUACCAAAGUUAUCGAUGAGGCUUUAUAAUUCCACACAUGGAAUAAUUGGUACCAAAACAACUCAUCUCAUAACUUAGGAUAAUUGCUUGAGCUACUGCUUUUAUAAGCACCUCGUUACUUGGAUUAGAUAACAUUCGCUUCUAACCUUUUAGAUCUUUCCAUAACUGUUUUGACGGCCUGGCCUAGAAAGGUGGUCCGAUGAGGGCGAGAAGUGGACACUAGAGCAAAAAUAGGAUGCACGGACAAUGAGCGACUUUUGGCAGGAUUCUGAGAUAGCAACACUCUAGGGUACGAUGGUGCAUGAUUGACUCAAAUUGCAUAUAAAAACGAGAUAGGGAGACUAAUAGAAUAUAUGUAAAGAGUUAGAACUAAACACUUAAAGCACCUUUUGGUUGUUUGGUGAUGAAGUUUUAGGAACUCCAAAGUUAAACGUAUUGGAUUAAGAGAAAUGUCAAAAUGCGUGACUUUCUAAGGAGUACUCGCAGUUUAACGUUGGCAAUACUAAUGGAAAUCUUUCAUAAACUUGAGAGGUUUUACUUUUCAAGUUAAAGCAACAAAAGUAUAAUUGACAUCAACAUGCACCACUUGCAGAACUAAAAAAAAUAUCCAAACAAGUGUAGUAAUAUCUUUACCAAAUUAAAAAAAAAAAUCAAUAAGGGAGAAUACACAAUACCAUUAGGGUUCGGGGUUUUGCAAGAGUGCAUUUGUUUUAAGACAAUUUAAACUUUAUCAUUAUUGGGGAUAAUAAUAUAAAUAAUCACUAAACUUUACACUUAGUUUCAUUUUGGUCAUAAAAUUUUAAUUUGUUCUAUUUCAAUCAUUUAACUUUAGUUUUGGUUGCAAUUUAGUCACCUUGUUAAUAAAAAUUUGACAUGUCACAAUAUUUUUUUGCCAUGUGUCAAUCUUUUAUUUGUAAAGUGACUAAAUUGAAACAACUUUAAAGUUGGAUGACCAAAAUGAAACAAAUUAGAUUUUCUGACUAAAAAUGAAACUAAGUGCAAAAUUUAGUGAGUAUUUAUAUUAUUAUAUAUCCUUCAUUAUUGUAUGGCAAGAAUAAACAAGCAAAAGUCUCUCGAGAAAGAAAACUAUCAAUUGUCCCAUAAGUUUAUGGAAAGAUCUAAGUUCAAAUACUGAAGAGAUUAUAGCAAUAUUCCUUAACAAUUAAUUUCACCUCCUCUCCUCCUUCUCUCUAUCCACUCAUCUUCUUCUUUCAAUUUAUGAAUUAUAUCGUUUGUUUUUUAAGAAUCUUUCAUGUGAAAGUUUUAAUUACAUAUAUUGUAUGAAAACGAGAUACUUUUCAUUGUAAACCAUUCUUAGUCAUAGUAACAUACUAAGUUACUAAUCCAAUAUGGUCAUUAAGAACAUUAAUUUAUAUAAUACCAAAAUAGCAAACAAGAUAUAUACUCUGACUUGUGAAUUUUUCAAUUUUAUCAUAACAAUCUAAUUACUUUUCUUUAUAAUGCUAAUAAUUAGUGAAGGUGGUCGAGUAUAACAUGUUUGCUAUCUCAAGAUGACAAAUCAAUAAUUAUGAAUUAGAUUUCUUUUGAUGAAUUAAGAAAUCCGAAUCUUAUGUUGUAUGCUGAAAUGGCUAAAUUAAAAGUUUGGUGUAUUAUUGAAAGAAAUUUGAAUGUUCGCGAUUUUUACAGUUUUUGUUAAUUCUUGUUUGAAUCAUGAAAUUAACCUUAUUUUUUAUCCAAAUUAAAUAGUUUUAAUUAUUUUCGUAUCAACUUUAGCUUAAUUUAAAAAAAAAUAAAAGCAAAUUUUAGAAAGGAAACAUUAAAUAUGCAUUUAGUUGUAUGCUUAUAAUGAUUCUCAAUGAAAAUAAAGUUGAAUAUGUAUUUAAGAUACUAGUUUAAAAUUACAACAACUUUAUAAAUAUUUUAGCGCAGCAUACUUUUUGUUUUUCUCCUUCUACUUAGUUGCUAGAAGAGCAAGUCCCACCUCAUCUUUGUAAUUUGCUGAACUCAGAGGCUGUUGCCUCUUAGAUGGCAUAUAUCCAUUCUUUCUUUGGAAUAAAUCUGAAUCAAUUCUCAAAAAAACCUUUAUAAAUAUCAUACAUAUUUUAAUUUUUUCCAUUUGAUGAUUUAUUUUUUAAGUUCGAAAUCGUAAAUCAAUUUAUAGGUUUUAUUAUUUAAUUUUCUUAAUUUGAAUUUCAUUCAUCAACUUAAGUUUGAUAUAUUGUUUUGAUUUUAUCUUUUUCAUAAUUAUUUUUUAAAAAUUACAUUUUAAAUGAAUAAAUAAAAAAAUUAAGAUUAAUAGAAUAAUAAUUAUUAACUUCGACUAAAAUAUGUAGUUGGUUAAGACCUCAACUAAUUUUAUAAUUUGGGCUAGAAUUGUUAAAAGUUAAAAAAUAAAUAAAUAAACAAAAUCAUCAAAUAUCGCGAAAAAAUUUUAUUUCUUUUAACUAAUAUGUCUAAGAGAUUCACACACGAAAUUAUUUAUGAUAAGUAUAAAAAUACGACUAGUUGAAUUUCCAAUUAAUAAUAAAAUGAAUUGAUUUUUAACUAAAAGGAACAAAAAGCAAACACAAGAAUUUAUAAAGGUUGGGCUUCUUUCGCCAAGUCUAUGUUCUUCCUUGUUGAUUUCAUUCCUCUAACUUGUCUUUCUCAAGGUGAUCGAGGACCAAACUUUGUACAUUAAUAAAUAAUAGUGAAAUUUAUAAAACAGAACGGUGAGAAAAUCCUAAUCCAAUGUUCAUUAAAAAGAAAAGUAAUUAAAUCGAGAAAUGGAAGAGAAAUAGAUAAUAUUGAUACUCAAUGAUGAUGAUUCUUUAAAGUUGGUUAUGGAUUUGAUAAUGUGAUGUGAAUUGAUGGUCGAAUAGUGACAUAAAUGAGAAAUUGAUGUUUGGAGCUAAAAGUGUAAGUGAAGCAAUUCAAUUUUGACUUGUGAGAUAUUUGAGAUUUGCAAAAACAAACUGAAUAUUAUUUUAGAUUUAAUCGAAUGAAAUUCAAACUUGACCUAUUUAAAUAGUUUGUCGAAUCAAAUUUCUACUUCUUUAUACUUAAUGUAGAAUGCUCGCAAGUCUACUUGAGCUUUUACUAUUUUAUUUAAUAUAAUAUAUAUUUAUAUUUCAAAUUCAAGCGAGUAUAUUUAAAUUCAAUUAAAAUUUAUAGAAAAAUUUAUUUUUGAAUUUUCAGGUCGAGUUCCAUUAAAUUUAAGCAUCCUUUAAACUGUGAAAGUUAAAUUCUAUUGAAUUUCAGUAGAAUUUUGAGCUUCAAAUUUUUUGAUCGAAUCUAUAUUGAAUUUGGUGUUAUUUUGAGUCGGUUCAAUUUAAUUACAUUGCUAUUUAGUUUUUUAGAAGUGAUAACUUUUAAAAAGGUAUAUUUGUAAUUAACUUGAAUGUGAAUGGCACCGAAAAAUAAAAUACUAAUGCGUUCUUUUGAGAAGGGUAUAGAUUUUCUAUUAUGAAGGUAUCGAAUUCUCAUUCUAUAAAGUAAUAUAUGCAUUGAGUUUUUUUUUUAUUAUAUUUUUUUUAUAUAGGAAUGCUGAGAAUGAUGAAAAGAAUAAGUCUAAUGUUCAAAUUUGAUCNNNAAUGUUCAAAUUUGAUUCAUCACUUUAAGUUGAUAUGUCCGAGUGAAAAUAUACUUUUUAUAUAUUUACAGACUCCUACUCUAUCAACAUCAUCAAUGAUUAUUAGAAAUGGAUUUUUUACGUUUAUUUCUUAAUAUUUAAUAUUUAUUUUUAAAUUAAUAGCCAUAUGUAUUUAUUAAUCCUCAAUCCUGCAAUAUUUAUAUCUUUUCUAACCAAUUACACUUUUUAGGAAGCUGAUUUUUAUACAUAAUUGUAAACCGAUAAUUGAGCCAUGAAACGAGCUUACUCAUCAUCGAGAGCAAUAUCUUUUCUUGCGAAGAAUGGAAAGCAAUAUUUUGGUGCUUCUACAAAAUGAAAAACAAAAAUAUAAAAAUUAUUAUUCAAAAGAAUAUUUUUUUUUUAAAAAAAAAAAAUCAAUACGUAACACCAAAGCAUACUAAAAUGAAAAUGUGGUGUUAAAUGACUCUUCAACUUAUUGAAACCAAACCAAACACGUCCUCAGAAAUCUAUUUUGUUGUAUUCUUUCAAAAACAAAUUAAAAUCUUUGCCAUUUUCAAUGAAAUCUGUCUGUUUCUAUGCAGUUGAUUUCUGUUUUUUUUUUUUUUUUCUUUUUUGUUUGCCAAACAAAUGGAAAGAUUUAUAAUACAAACCAAAACUAAACCGAAGUAAAGACUAAAUUAAAUGAAUCAAAUUUUGUAUAAAUAUAUACUUAAUUGAAUAAAAAGUAAAAUCGAAAAAAGACAAAUUGAAUAAACUGAACUGCAUAAGGUCCUCUUAAAGAAUUAAAUAUUUUAAUUCGUAUAAGAAAUUUAGUUAGUUCGGUUAAAUGUAAAUCUUUUAACUUAAAAUUGAUCCAAACUUGAUUAAUUCUGAUUUUUAUAAAAACUAAAUCAAAUAAAUUAAAAGAAUCCAAUUAAAUUAUAGAUUUAUUUUUUUUAAUUUUGCUUACCUUUAUAUAUAUGACUUUGAAAUUUUAAAUUAUUUUAUCUUUUUAGAAAAAGUCUUCAAUAAAACUAGAAAAGAAAUACAUCUGUGUAUAUUAAGCUCAAUUUUAUAGUCGGAGAAUCAAGAGCAAUAUAUUGAUGCUUCGAUAAAAUAAAAAUUAAAUCAUACUAAAAACCAAAAAAAUAUGGUGUGGAAUGGAUCUUCAACUAAUUGAAAUACAAACCAAACACAUCCUAAGAAAUCUAUUUUGAUUGUUCUUUAGAAAGGAGAAAAAACAACAAAUGAAAAUCCCCACCACUUUUAAUGAAAUGUGUUUGUUUCUAUGGGGAAUUUCUUUUUUCUCUUUUUCUGCUCUUUUUUGUUGCCCUUUUUCAUGCUUUGAUGAGGCUUUUGAGCAUCAACAUCAUGGAAAGAGGCAGAGGAAUGUAUUUUUUGGACUCUGAAGUAUGAGCCACAAAAACUAAGGUAAAGGGCAAGUGUGUUCUACUUCUGCACCACAUCUGGGCUUUGUGGCUAAUGGUAGAGGGGUGGCCCAUUUCAAGUUUCCUUCCAAAAGUUUGGUAUUGUUUCUGGCCAUAAAUUAUUAUUGACCACAUAAAAUUAGUUAUUUCCAAAAGGCUCAUUUUUUAAGGUGAUGGAUCAUCAUCCUCUUUCCUUCCUUUAGCUGCUUACAAACAAAUAAAUAUUAGAUAAGGAGAAGUGGAGCCAUGACGUUCUCAUAAAACCAACCCUCCCUCCUUUUUUUUAGUUUUUCAAUAAAUCAAAUCUUAUCCCAAAACCCAUCUCUUUCUUUUCCUUGGAGCAAACGUUUCAUUUCUAUGGCAAAAAGAAAAUUAAAAUUAAUUUAAAUUGUUUUCUCUAUUAUUUAUCAAUAUUAAUUACAGUCUGUUUAUUGCUUGAAAUGAAUGAAAUAAUUUUCUAUUAUAUGAAAAUAGAUAUACAACUUUUAUAUGAGGAAUAAUGUUUUCUUAUAAAAAAGCUAAUGGACUUUAAAUUACAUAAUAGACUAUAGUCAUUCUGUUUAUAUGUAUUAUAAAAAUAAAAAUAAAAAUUCUAUUAGUAUAUAUAAAAAAAUUUAAAAAAUUCAAAAUAUCUUAUUUUCUAAAAUAAAUAUUUUAUCAAUUAAACUAGAUUUUAAAUAUAAUAUAAUUAAUUUAUUAUUACCGAUAAAUAAUAAUUAAUAAAAUAAAAUAAAAAAAAAAAAGAAAUUUAAUAUUACAAUAUAUAUAAAAUAAUACCAUAAAAUUAUUUUUUAUUAAUAAAAAGUCCAAUUAGUUAUGGGUUACACAAUAAAAAUAAUAAUUAUUUAACACUCACUAUAAAAAAUAAAAUCUCACCUGGUAUAAAAGUGAGACUUAAACUCAAAAUUUCUACCUCUAAUAACAAUCGCUCCUCCAUUUGAGCUAGAAAUACUAUUUUUAUUCAACUUUACAUGUAUAUUUUAAUUUUAUUUUAAAAAAGAUGAAAAAAUAAAUAGUUUUAUAAAUUUUAAAUUAAUAUAAUUUACAAGCAGUAAUUACUUGUCCAAUCAUUUAACUUUUCACUAGUCAACACUCAAAAGCAAUAUAUAAAAUUAAAAAUGAAAUGUAUAUAUUUGAUCGGUCAAACAAUAUAAAUUAGUCUUUUAGAUUUUAAUUAUAUAUAAUUUAUUAAUAUUUAUAUUACUAUGUAAUGUUUAUUUAUUUAUUUAAUGAAUGAAUUAAAAAAAAAAUUGCCUAAAAGUAACCCUUUUCACUGUAGAGAUCUUGUGGUGGGUCAAAUUGGUAGUUUGAUUUGCUACGCAUUAUAAACAUUUAAACAGACAGACAGCAUUUCUUCGCUCUAAGCAAAACUCUUUUCCUUCUUCCUUAACCAGAGAGAGAGAGAGAGAGAGAGAGAGAGAGAGAGAGAGAGAGAGCUCUUCUCUUCACCUUCAAACAACACAUCCAUCAUCAAUGGAUCCUUACAAGGUAUCUCUUCUUAAUCCACACACUAGCACAAACCAAAUCCAAAAAAGAAAAACAACUUAACUUGGUUACUGACAUAGUUUCUUUUUUAUGUUUUAAUUGGUGCAGUUUCGACCAUCAAGCGCCUAUAAUUCUCCUUUCUUCACUACAAACUCUGGUGCUCCUGUCUGGAACAACAACAACUCCUUGACUGUUGGGUCCAGAGGUAAUCAAAGUUUCAAUUUGUAAGUCAUAAUUGUGCUUAUAUCCGUAAAAAAAUGAACUGAGUUUGGCUUAACUUGGAUUAACAUUUGUUACUUUGGCAGGGCCGAUUUUGCUGGAGGACUAUCAUUUGGUGGAAAAGCUUGCAAAUUUUGACAGGGAAAGAAUUCCAGAGAGAGUUGUUCAUGCUAGAGGUGCAAGUGCAAAAGGGUUCUUUGAAGUAACUCAUAAUAUCUCUCAUCUUACCUGUGCUGAUUUCCUUCGAGCUCCUGGAGUUCAAACCCCUGUUAUUGUUAGGUUCUCUACUGUUAUUCAUGAACGUGGCAGUCCUGAAACUCUUAGAGACCCUCGUGGUUUUGCUGUCAAGUUCUACACUAGGGAGGUAACUUCAUUUCCUGCUAUAUAAUAUCUUUUGAGCAUGCUAGUUAAACGUAUGGAAUGAACAUUAACUUCUUUCUUUGUACAUAAGGAAAAUUCUGCAUUUUUGCUUCUCUGGAAAGGGCUUUUAGCAUUCAAAUUUCAAGCUGAGUUUAAAUUUCAGAUUUGACUUCUGCUUUUACAAAACGUGAGAUUAAGUAACACUAGCAAGUUAACCAAAAAAUAGCAGAGAUUAUUAUUCUAGCAAGCUGAGAUUAUGUAUUGCUGACAUACAUGUGGCUGUAAUAUGCACAAUAAACUCACUAAUUAUCACUCUUUAAGCUACGAGCUUCAUGUCUCCCUCUCUGUUUUUUCUUUACCCUUCUUUAUGUUCUCGCUCGAGUGGUGCGAGUUUCUACAUAUAUAUAUAUAUAUAUAUAUAUAUAUAUAUAUGUAAAGGAAUCCUUUCCAUUAAAGAAUCAAGAUUGAUUGUUUUAUUUCAAGUAACAUUUUACUAAUUCUGCAUUUGUUUUCAUCAGGGUAAUUUUGAUUUGGUGGGCAACAAUUUCCCUGUCUUUUUCAUCCGUGAUGGAAUGAAGUUCCCUGACAUGGUUCAUGCUCUGAAACCCAAUCCCAAGUCACAUAUUCAGGAGAACUGGAGGAUACUAGACUUCUUCUCCCACCACCCUGAGAGCUUGCACAUGUUCACCUUUCUCUUUGAUGACAUAGGUAUUCCUCAGGAUUACAGGCACAUGGAUGGUUCUGGUGUAAACACCUACACUUUGAUCAACAAGGCUGGGAAAGCACGCUAUGUCAAAUUCCAUUGGAAAGCCACUUGUGGAGUUAAGAGUUUAU